rnacentral:lncRNA from 1 species
UGCUCUGCUCUAAUUAAGCCACACUUCAGUCGGCUGAAUCGACUUUUGGGUCAGUCGGUUUUCAGGGGUUGGGGGGGGGCUCGCCGGAGUUAAGGAAGAACCACCCGCAGCGGGGACGGGGGCUCGUCGGAGAGGUACCCCACUAUCUAUCUUAGGGUUCAGGGUGGGGGCGGGGGGCCUAAAGGGCUGGCUGGGGCGGCGGUGGCGAGUUGUUUCGGGGCGGCGAGGCGGCGCUGGGGCCGGCGGUUCGGCCGGUGGUGGCUGGCGUCUCAGGGGGGUGCAGGUUGAAGAUGAACUGCAGGCCCUCCCUAAACUACAUGUGAAGUGCCUCUCUGCUACCAUUGCAUUCAGUUUCGACAGUAGCAUUAAGAUUCCACAGUAAAUUUCAGUUUCGAUAGUUAAGUUCAGAGUCAACAGUUUUUACCUCAUCUGUUGUAGUCAGGUGAUUUUUGGUGAUGUUAAUUUUACAUCCAUUUUACAUCAUCUAUUGGAGAUGCUAUUAGAAUCCCACUUGAGAUUGACGAUGUCUGUCUUGUGCUGCUUCAGCCUUGACGUCUUACGGCUCACCGGAGCUGCUCCAACGACAGAAGGAUCCAUCACAACAAAGUAGUGCCCUGGAUGCCUUCUACAGAUUCCUCAGAUCUUCCUCCACACCUCCGACAGCCACCUCUGCCUCAACUGCUUCAGCAACCAACCCAAUGAUGCUGAGGUCGACACGGCUACGGCAAAGAGGUUGUACACUUGUUGCAUCACUUAUUACUAUACAUUCACGUCGAUCCAUUAGGGCUAUUUUGGUUCAACGGAAAAACGUCGAUCCACUGGUUGUUACCAUCACUCUAAAUUUCUGCAUGCUCUCCUUACAUAAUCUCACCAUAUUUUUUUCGUAUGCAUGUCAGAUAUUGUACACAGUCAUGCUGAACAUGUAGAUAAAAAGAGAAGAGUUUUGCGCGGCAAUACAAUGUCAUGCAGACAUCGCUCCAUGGUGGGUUCAAUGGCAAACGCUCCCCACCCCUCUCUAGAUUGUAAUCCAGAGGAAGAUAUCUGUUCUGAGGCGGAUUCAGACGCCGCUGACCACUCCUAUUUACCCCCAAGGUGUUUGUUCUACCUUGGCAUGAUGAUGUUAGUCAUAUCAUGCAUAUGUUGCCUUGCAGUGCCUACUGUUAACAUCAUAUAUGUCAUCUGCUUAGUUUAGACAUGUUCUGUAAUGCCACCUUUUUAGUUUCUAUAUCAUAUAUGGGAAUUAUGCAGUCUCAUGUCUUUUAGCCAGCCGUAAUAUAUGUGAAAUGUGCAAUGCCAUCCUGUUUAACCAGGCAUAAUAUAUUUGAAUGAUAUCUUGCACAUCAUUUUAUUCAUUACAUUUCCAUUUGUCGAUAAUGUUUGUACAUUAAACUACUCUUCUUGUGAAUCAGCCAUUUGAGUGGGAGAUGGAAAAAUCUGGAGUGAAAACAAGGCCUUUAGAGCAGACAGUGCUACCUGUCGAAGCAGAUCUCUUGUUGGGUCCCGAUAGCUCCUCAGAGAUGGAUUCAGAGAUAGAUGACCAGUCCUAUUCCCCCACUGAGGUGUAUGCUCUAACUUGGCACAGUUAUACUGCUCAUAUCAUGCAUACGGUGUCUUGCAUUGCAUAGUUUAGACAUCAUAUAUACAAUAUUCAACACCAUGUUCUUAGUUCAGACAUCAUAUCGAAUGCCCUCUGUUUAGCAUAUAAAUCACAUAUGUGAAUUAAAUGAUGCGAUCCUGAUUACUUAGAUAACAUGUAGGUGAAUUAUGUCAUGCGAUCUUGUUUAGUUAUUCAUCAUAUCUUUGAAUUAUGUUAUGCUAUGCUAUCCAGUUUAGAUAGACAUCAUAUAUGUGAAAUUAUGUCAUGCUAUCCGUUUUAGUUAAACAAUAUACAUGUCAACUAUUUCAUGCCCUCUUUUUUCCACACUAUCUAUUGCAUCUGUCUCUCAUACAAUGUCUGUACAUUCAACUAUGUUUCCUGUUUAUCAGCCAUUUGAAUUGGAGCGGGUGAUGCCAGUAUCUAGCAGACUAAAAACACGGUCUUCAAAUAAAACAGUGCUACCUCUUGGUGGAGAUAGCUCCCCGGUUGUACAUGCACAAGAACCAGCCCUACCACACAUAACCCAAACUCUCACAGAUUGUACCCCUACUGUGAUGGACAGAGAACCAGCUUCACCUAAUCUAACCCCAACACCAGCCGAUAGUAACCCAGUUCCUGUUGACACAGCACCAUCUCCACCACAGAGCUCCCAAACAAGAGCAGUUAGUAAGGCAACUCUAGUGCCCAAAGGGCCAGUACUAUCAUGGCGAACCCCAACUCCACCAGUUAGUACGCCUAUUCCUGUGGAGGAAGCACAACCAGCUAGUCGUAGUUUAGCAUCUAUCGCAGUUGAUGUUGUUAAAUCGUAUGUGCGUAUCUUCCCAUCUUGGAAAUAUUAUACUGAAGAUGAAGGAAAAUGCUAGUUGCAGGUGUUUGUCCAGGAUUAUGUGUAAGUAAUGUUAUUCAAGGCAAUUACUUUGCUUCGUCCCAUACAUCCUACCUCCAUGAUGGUUAUAAUAGAACAAAUUUUCCCAUUUUUCUCUAUACAGAAGGACCGAUUUGGAAACUCAGGAUGAGGUAACCUGUGCUAAUACCUCUGCUAUCUUCAAGAAUGCUUGAUAGCAGUAUCGGACCCUGAAGAAAAUGUACUUCACCGGCAAACAAACUCAUCAAAUUCCCUUAUGUUCUCCUGAGACACAUUUACUGGACGAUGAUUGGGAACGCCUUGUUCUGUACUGGUCCCGAACCAAGAAUGUGCUAAGGUCUAUGAGCUCAUUUUCUAUUUUUAAGUAUUAUAUUCUCGCGCCUUAUUGUACUCUGUUCAUGUAGAACAAGUGCCUAAACCUGAAAAAUAACUAUUCUAAUUUAAGAUUCCAUUGCUAUCAUAGUUCAAAAAAGCGCUAGGCGUUAAUUGUGCGUUUUGCCACCGCCUUGCGGUUUACUGACCAAAGCGCAUGCUUAUGCGCAGUUAUGCACAGAUUAUGCGUAGUUAUGCGCAAUGCAUUUUGCCAACGCGUAGAGCCUAGGCGCGCUUAAGCACUCGCUUAGGCGCGCCUUUUUUAACUAUGAUUGCUUUACUCUUGUAUCACUGUAUUUACGCAUACAAACUUAUUUUUAAAUUGAAGGAUCCAAUCAAAACUCCAAUGGCACAGCAGGUAUGUUCACGCAUGUUUCUUUAACAGGUUUGCUCUUAUCAAUAGCUCUGUUGAUUUCAAUUUCAAUUGUGUAUACAGUUGACUUUCAUAUGAUGCACAUUACUAGCAUCACAACAGAGCCAAUAGUGUUGUUGUACAUGUAGACCCGUGGUACCCAUCUGAAAUCUUGUUGUGUCGUGUAGUUUCCCACGCUUUGUAUUCUUUCAUUACUGCUUUGUCUUGAACUGAUAUGAUUUGAACUGUGUCUCUAUUUUGAUUUGGCAAGACAACGCAGUGACCAUAGGACAUAGAUAUAUGUUUGUUUGAUGCUUUUAUUAUGUACUAGUACUUGGCAAUAGAAGACUUGGUAGUUUAAUCAUGUCCACCUUACUAAUGAACUGGUUCACCGAAAUGAGUUUCAUAUACUAGUACAUGCUAAACUUGUUAUGUGUCUACUUAUUUCUUCUUUUGGAAUGCUGACGGAAUAUUGGGGAAGAGUGCCUUAUUAAGCAAUGGUAAAGGAAGUAAUGCAGAUAAGGUUCAGAAUAGUGACACAUCCUUGUUGGUCUCCAACAAAGCUGAUAAAACAGCUAAGGAAGACUAUCUUGAAGACAGCGAGACAACCCCAAAGUCCUGUCUUGGUUUAGUGUUCGAGUUACUGGCCACUACCGCUUGCACAAGCUAUUCAAACUCACUGUUUGAAUUAGUUUGGUUUCUUGAGUCUCAACUACAAGUUGAAAGACAUCGAUCAGCUGUGCUGCGACAAGAAGCGGAAGGACUGUGGAAGUCCCUGGAGCAUUCAGAUGCAUACUUUCUGGUGCAACAGCAAGCCCUGGAGGAUUUUAGCGCCAAACAGGACAAAGCUAAUCAGCUUGCUAAGCUUAUUGCCAGCAUGGUGGAUACCCAGGAUAACGUUUCUUGAGCUCUUCUAAAGUUGUUUCAGUUAUGCUCUUGUUUUGCUGCCGUGUUUAUUUGCACUGCUGGCCAAUUUUGAUGGCUAGUGUAUGUAAUGUGCUGCUUUGUUCCCUAUAUUUGCACUGGUGGCGAACUUUGAUGCCCUGUGUAUGUAAUAUGUGUAAUAGCGGUAAUAGGCUAGCAUUAAUUGCUUGCUUAUUUAUUUCCUUAUUGUCUUGUUUAGUUGUUUGCUUGUAGUCACUGCAGUUCUUUUUCUGUUUUUUUCUAGUGGCCAUAAUAGCCUAUUUUUGGUAACUAGGCCAAAAUAAUCAUGGCAACACACGGACUGUUAUAACCAUGGGCCUCCUGCAGGCCGUAUGAUCCAUGGGUCUUCGUCUGGCCGUAGGAUCCAUCGGCCUUCUAUACGGGCCUUAGGGUCCAUGGACCUUCUACGGGCCGUACGAUCCAUGAGCCUUCUACGGGCCGUACUAUCCAUGGGCCUCAUACGGGCCAUAGGAUCCAUGGGCCUUCUACGGGGCCUAUCAUCAUUUCGCCAAUCAUAUGUCGUACUAUUCGUGGACCAUAAUGGGCCGUUAAUAGGCCGUAUUUGAUAACUCUAUGAAAACAGCCCAACGGGUUUUUUACAUGAAAACGGCCCAACGUAUUAACGGUCCGCAAACAGGCCGACUGUAACGACGGGCUGAAUUUGGCCCACAAGCAGAAAAUGACAGUAACGGGCCGUAUGUAACCGAAUACUGCAAAUGAGCCCAAAAAUCAAUGGGCCUUGAGAAGGCUGAAAGAUAACUUGGGCUAGAAAUGACCCAAUGGAAUAACAAGCCGUUAAUGGGUAUAAAGUGAUACACUGUUCAUUACGGGCCAGUUUCACCACAGGCCGUUAAUGGGCCAAGAGUUACAAAGGUCCUCAUAUGGGCCGAAAGAAGUCACGGGCCACACAUGGGCUGGAAGUUAAAACGGGCUGAAUCAUAUUGGACGGCCCAGAUGACGCUACUGGGCCUAAUUCGGAUAGGGCAUAACAGGCCCUGGGUUAGAGGGCUAUAAAUGGGCUAUAUGCGAACAGGCCGUUAACAGGCUUUCCGUGGGCCGGCCCGCCACCUUUUGACCAAGUCAAACGGGCCGGCCUUUUCACAGGAAUGGGCCUCUGUUGGGCCGUGCCACGUGUGAUACGUCUCGAACGUAUCUAUAAUUUUUGAUUGCUCCAUGCUAUAUUAUCUAUUGUUUUAGAAAUAAUUGGGCUUUAUUAUCCACUUUUAUAUUAUUUUUGGGACUAACCUAUUAACCGGAGGCCUAGCCCAGAAUUGCUGUUUUUUGCCUGUUUUAGGGUUUCGAAGAAAAGGAAUAUCAAACGGAGUCCAAACGGAAUGAAACCUUCGGUAACGUGAUUUUCUCAUCAGAUAAGAUCCAGGAGUCUUGGACCCUCCGUCAAGAAAGCCACGAGGUGGUCACGAGGGUAGGGGGUGCCCCCCUAGGGCGCGCCCCUGCCUCGUGGGCCCCUCUCGAAGCUCCACCGAUGUACUUCUUCCUCCUAUAUAUAUCCGCGUACCCUCAAACGAUCGGGGACGGAGCCAAAAACCUAAUUCCAGCGCCACAAAUUUCUGUAUCCACGAGAUCCCAUCUUGGGACCUGUUCCGGAGCUCCGCCAGAGGGGACAUCGAUCACGGAGGGCUUCUACAUCAUCAUCCAAGCCCCUCCGAUGAAGUGUGAGUAGUUUACUUUAGACCUAAGGGUCCAUAGCUAGUAGCUAGAUGGCUUCUUCUCUCUUUUUGGAUCUCAAUACAAUGUUCUCCCCCUCUCUCGUGGAGAUCUAUUCGAUACAAUCUUCUUUUUGCGGUGUGUUUGUUGAGAUCGAUGAAUUGUGGGUUUAUGAUCAAGUCUAUCUAUGAAUAAUAUUUGAAUCUUCUCUGGAUUCUUUUAUGUAUGAUUGGUUAUCUUUGCAAGUCUCUUUGAAUUUUCAGUUUGGUUUGGCCUACUAGAUUGGUUGUUCUUGCCAUGGGAGAAGUGCUUAGCUUUGGGUUCGAUCUUGCGGUGUCCUUUCCCAGUGACAGAAGGAGCAGCAAGGCACGUAUUGUAUCGUUGCCAUCGAGGAUAACAAGAUGGGGUUUUUAUCAUAUUGCAUGAAACUAUACCUCUACUUCAUGUCAUCUUGCUUAAGGCGUUACUCUGUUUUUAACUUAAUACUCUAGAUGCAUUCUGGAUAGCGGUAGAUGAGUGGAGUAAUAGUAGUAGAUGCAGAAUUGUUUCCGUCUACUUGUCUUGGACGUGAUGCCUAUAUACAUGAUCAUACAUAGAUAUUCUCAUAACUAUGCUCAAUUCGGUUAAUCGCUCAACAGUAAUUUGUUCACCCACCGUAGAAUACUUAUGCUCUUGAGAGAAGCCACUAAUGAAACCUAUGGCCCCCGGGUCUCUUUCUCAUCAUAUCAAUCCCCAUCACUUUAUUAUUGCUUUGCUUUUACUUUAUUUACUUUGCAGCUCUAUAUCAAAAAUACCAAAAAAUAUUAUUUAUCAUGUCUAUCAGAUCUCACUUUCGUAAGUGACCGUGAAGGGAUUGACAACCCCUAAGUGCGUUGGUUGCUUUGAUCUAUUGUUUUUGUGUAGGUACGAGGGACUCGAGCGUAGCCUCCUACUGGAUUGAUACCUUGGUUCUCAAAAAUAGAGGUAAAUAUUUACGCUACUUUGCUGCAUCAUCCCUUCAUCUUCGGGGAAAUCCAACAUAGUGCUCAAGAGGUAGCAAGAAGAAUUUCUGGCACCGUUGCCGGGGAGUCUGCGCAAAAGUCAACAUACCAAGUACCCAUCACAAUCCCUAUCUCCCGCAUUACAUUAUUUUCCAUUUGCCUCUCAUUUUCCUCUCCCCCACUUCACCCUUGCCGUUUUAUUCGCCCUCUCUCUCUCUCUCUCUAUCCUCCCUCUCUUUCUCCGUUUGCUUUUUUGCCCGUUUGCUUUUUGUUUGCUCGUGUGUUGGAUUGCUUGUUUGUCGCGAUGGCUCAAGAUAAUACUAAAUUGUGUGACUUCACCAAUACCAACAAUAAUGAUUUCCUUAGCACUCCGAUUGCUCCUCUUACCGAUGCUGAAUCUUGUGAAAUUAAUACUGCUUUGUUGAAUCUUGUCAUGAAAGCCGGCCUUCCUAGUGAAGAUGCCGCUACACAUCUUAAUAGCUUCGUUGAUUUGUGUGACAUGCAAAAGAAAAAAGAUGUCGAUAAUGAUAUUGUUAAAUUGAAGCUAUUUCCUUUUUCGCUUAGAGAUCGUGCUAAAGCUUGGUCUUCAUCUUUGCCUAAAAAUAGUAUUGAUUCAUGGAACAAGUGCAAAGAUGCUUUUAUCUCUAAGUAUUUUCCUCCCGCUAAGAUCAUCUCUCUUAGAAACGAAAUUAUGAAUUUUAAACAACUUGAUCAUGAACAUGUUGCACAAGCUUGGGAGAGAAUGAAAUUAAUGAUACGUAAUUGCCCUACUCAUGGUUUGAAUUUGUGGAUGAUUAUACAAAUUUUUUAUGCCGGAUUGAAUUUUGCUUCUAGAAAUCUUUUAGAUUCGGCCGCGGGAGGCACUAUUAUGGAAAUCACUUUAGGAGAAGCUACUAAACUCCUAGAUAAUAUUAUGGUUAAUUAUUCUCAAUGGCAUACUGAAAGAUAUACUAAAAAGGUGCAUGCGAUAGAAGAAAUUAAUGUUUUGAGUGGAAAGAUGGAUGAACUUAUGAAAUUAUUUGCUAAUAAGAGUGUUUCUUCUGAUCCUAAUGAUGUGCCCUUGUCUACUUUGAUUGAGAAUAAUAAUGAAUCUAUGGAUGUGAAUUUUGUUGGUAGGAACAAUUUUGGUAACAACGCGUAUAGAGGAAAUUUCAAUCCUAGGCCUUAUCCUAGUAAUCACUCUAAUAAUUAUGGUAAUUCCUACAACAAUUCUUAUGGAAAUUAUAAUAAGAUUCCCUCUGAUUUUGAAUCUAAUAUUAAAGAAUUUAUUUCUUCGCAAAAUAAUUUUAAUGCUAUGAUUGAAGAAAAAUUGCUUAAGAUUGAUGAUUUGGCUAGGAACGUUGAUAGAAUUGCUCUUGAUGUUGAUUCUUUGAAACUUAGAUCUAUUCCACCUAAGCAUGAUAUCAAUGAGUCUCUCAAAGCCAUGAGAAUUUCCAUUGACGAGUGCAAAGAAAGAAUCGCUAGGAUGCGUGCUAAGAAAGAUGCCUUUAUAGAAGCGUGUUCUUCUAGUUCCUAUGAAAAUAAUGAUGAAGAUCUAAAAGUUAUUGAUGUGUCUCCUAUUAAAUCUUUGUUUUGCAAUAUGAAUCUUGAUAAUGAUGGGACUGAAUAUGAUCCACCUUUACCUAGAAGGCAUUCUAAGAAUUCGGAAUUUGUUGAUCUUGUUGCUAAAUUUGAUAAAAGUGGGAUUGAAGAAAUUAAAACCCUAGAUGUUGCUAAACCCAGUAUUAUGGAUUUCAAGGAAUUUAACUAUGAAAAUUGCCCUUUGAUUGAUUGUAUUUCCUUGUUGCAAUCUGUGCUAAAAUCUCCUCACGCUUAUAGUCAAAAUAAAGCGUUUACUAAACAUAUCGUUGAUGCCUUGAUGCAAUCUUAUGACAAAAAACUUGAAUUGGAAGUUUCUAUCCCUAGAAAACUUUAUGAUGAGUGGGAACCAACUAUUAAAAUUAAAAUUAAAAAUUAUGAGUUUUAUGCUUUGUGUGAUUUGGGUGCUAGUGUCUCUACUAUUCCCAAAACCUUGUGUGAUUUACUAGAUUUCCGUGAUUUUGAUGAUUGCUCUCUAAACUUGCAUCUUGCGGAUUCCACUAUUAAGAAACCUAUGGGAAUAAUUAAUUAUGUUCUUAUUUUUGCAAAUAGGAAUUAUGUGCCCAUAGAUUUUAUCGUUCUUGAUAUAGAUUGCAAUCCUUCUUGCCCUAUUAUUCUUGGUAGACCUUUCCUUGGAACGGUUGGUGCAAUUAUUGAUAUGAAGGAAGGGAAUAUUAGAUUUCAAUUUCCAUUAAAAAAGGGCAUGGAACACUUCCCUAGAAAGAAAAUAAAAUUACCAUAUGGUUCUAUCAUGAGAGCCACUUAUGGAUUGCCUACCAAAGAAGGCAAUACCUAGAUCUAUUCUUGCUUGUUAUGCCUAGCUAGGGGCGUUAAACGAUAGCGCUUGUUGGGAGGCAACCCAAUUUUAUUUUUAUUCCUUGAUUUUUGCUCCUGUUUAGUAAUAAAUAAAUUAUAUAUCCUGUGUUUUGGUUGUGUUUUUUGUGUUUAAUUAGUGUUUGUGCCAAGUAGAACCGUUGGGAAGACUUGGGGAAAGUCUUGUUGAACUUGCUGUAAAAAACAGAAACUUUAGCGCUCACGAGAACUACUGUAAUUUUUAUUUGGAAAGUGAUAUUUAGUUAAUUCUUUUGUAAGAUGAUUAAUAGAUAAAUUCCUCACGUCCAUCAAUUUAUUUUAGAAUUUUUGGGGUUUCAGAUCUUGCGCUAGCUACAGAUUACUACAGACUGUUCUGUUUUUGACAGAUUCUGUUUUUCGUGUGUUGUUUGCUUAUUUUGAUGAAUCUAUGGCUAGUAAAAUAGUUUAUAAUCCAUAGAGAAGUUGGAAUAAAGUAGGUUUAACACACAUAUAAAUAAAUAAUAAGUUCAUUACAGUACCUUGAAGUGGUCUUUUGUUUUCUUUGGCUAACGGAGCUCGCGAGUUUUCUACUUUAAGUUUUGUGUUGUGAAGUUUUCAAGUUUUGGGUAAAGAUUUGAUGGAUUAUGGAACAAGGAGUGGCAAGAGCCUAAGCUUGGGGAUUCCCAUGGCACCCCAAGAUAAUCUAAGGACACCUAAAAGCCAAAACUUGGGGAUGCCCCGGAAGGCAUCCCCUCUUUCAUCUACUUCUAUCGUUAACUUUACUUGGAGCUAUAUUUUUAUUCACCACAUGAUAUGUGUUUUGCUUGGAACGUCUUUUAUGAUUUGAGUCUUUGCUUAUUAGUUUACCACAAUCAUCCUUGAUGUACACACCUUUUGAGAGAGCCAUACAUGAUUUGGAAUUUGAUAGAAUACUCUAUGUACUUCACUUAUAUCUUUUGAGCUUUAUAGUUUUGCUCUAGUGCUUCACUUAUAUCUUUUAGAGCACGGUGGUGGAUUUGUUUUAUAGAAACUAUUGAUCUCUCAUGCUUCACUUAGAUUAUUUUGAGAGCCUUAAUAGCAUGGUAAUUUGCUUAAAAUCCUAAUAUGCUUGGCAUGCAAGAUUAAUAAUAAAACUUUCGUAUGAGUGUAUUGAAUACUAAGAAGAAAUUGAUGCUUGAUAAUUGUUUUGAGAUAUGAGGAUGGUGAUAUUAGAGUCAUGCUAGUUGAGUAGUUGUGAAUUUUAGAAAUGCUUGUGUUAAAGUUUGUGAUUCCCGUAGCAUGCACGUAUGGUGAACCGUUAUGUGAUGAAGUCGGAGCAUGAUUUAUUUAUUGAUUGUCUUCCUUAUGAGUGGCGGUUGGGGACGAGCGAUGGUCUUUUAUUACCAAUCUAUCCCCCUAGGAGCAUGCGCGUAAUACUUUUCUUUGAUAACUUCUAGAUUUUUGCAAUAAGUAUAUGAAUUCUUUACGACUAAUGUUGAGUCCAUGGAUUAUACGCACUCUCCUUCCUUCCACCAUUGCUAGCCUCUCUAAUACCGCACACUUUUCGCUGGUAUCAUACACCCACCAAAUACCUUCCUCAAAACAGCCACCAUACCGACCUAUCAUGGAAUUUCCAUAGCCAUUCCGAGAUAUAUUGCCAUGCAACUUUCCAUCGUUCCUUUCAUUAUGACACGCUCCAUCAUUGUCAUAUUGCUAGCAUGAUCAUGUAGUUGACAUCGUAUUUGUGGCAAAGCCACCGUUCAUAAUUCUUUCAUACAUGUCACUCUUGAUUCAUUGCACAUCCCGGUACACCGCCGGAGGCAUUCAUAUAGAGUCAUAUUUUGUUCUAAGAAUCGAGUUGUAAUUCAUGAGUUGUAAGUAAAUAAAAGUGUGAUGAUCAUCAUUAUUAGAGCAUUUUCCCAGUGAGGAAAGGAUGAUGGAGACUAUGAUUCCCCCACAAGUCGGGAUGAGACUCCGGACGAAAAAAAAUAAUAUAUAAGAGGCCAUAAAAAAGGCCCAAAUAAAAAAAUGAGAGAAAAAGAGAGAAGGGACAAUGUUACUAUCCUUUUACCACACUUAUGCUUCAAAGUAGCACCAUGAUCUUCAUGAUAGAGAGUCUCUCAUUCUGUCACUUUCAUAUACUAGUGGGAAUUUUUCAUUAUAGAACUUGGCUUGUAUAUUCCAAUGAUGGGCUUCCUCAAAAUGCCCUAGGUCUUCGUGAGCAAGUGAGUUGGAUGCACACCCACUUAGUUUCUUUUGUUGAGCUUUCAUAUACUUAUAGCUCUAGUGCAUCCAUUUCAUGGCAAUCCCUACUUACUCACAUUGAUAUCUAUUGAUGGGCAUCUCCAUAGCCCGUUGAUACGCCUAGUUGAUGUGAGACUAUCUUCUCCCUUUUUGCCUUCUCCACAACCACCAUUCUAUUCCACCUAUAGUGCUAUAUCCAUGGCUCACGCUCAUGUAUUGCGUGAAGAUCGAAAAAGUUUUGAAAAUGUCAAAAGUAUGAAACAAUUGCUUGGCUUGUCAUCGGGGUUGUGCAUGAUUUAAAUACUUUGUGUGGUGAAGAUAGAGCAUAGCCAGACUAUAUGAUUUUGUAGGGAUAGCUUUCUUUGGCCAUGAUAUUUUGAGAAGACAUAAUUGCUUUGUUAGUAUGCUUGAAGUAUUAUUAUUUUUAUAUCAAUAUGAACUUUUGUCUUGAAUCUUUCGAAUCUGAAUAUUCAUACCACAAUUAAGAAGAUUUACAUUGAAAUUAUGCCAAAUAGCACUCCGCAUCAAAAUUUUGUUUUUAUCAUUUACCUACUCGAGGACGAGCAGGAAUUAAGCAUGGGGAUGCUUGAUACGUCUCCAACGUAUCUAUAAUUUUUGAUUGCUCCAUGCUAUAUUAUCUACUGUUUUAGACAUUAUUGGGCUUUAUUAUCCACUUUUAUAUUAGUUUUGGGACUAACCUAUUAACCGGAGGCCCAACCUAGAAUUGCUAUUUUUUGCCUGUUUUAGGGUUUCGAAGAAAAGGAAUAUCAAACGGAGUCCAAAUGGAAUGAAACCUUCGGAAACGUGAUUUUCUCAUCAAAUAACAUCCAGGAGACAAAAACCCUCCGUCAAGAAAGCCACGAGGUGGUCACGAGGGUAGGGGGCGCCCCCCUAGGGCGCGCCCCCUGCGUCGUGGGCCCCUCGAAGCUCCACCGACAUACUUCUUCCUCCUAUAUAUAUCCACGUACCCCCAAACGAUCGGGGACGGAGCCAAAAACCUAAUUCCACCGCCGCAACUUUCUGUAUCCACGAGAUCCCAUCUUGGGGCCUGUUCCAGAGCUCCGCCGGAGGGGGCAUCGAUCACGGAGGGAUUCUACAUCAUCAUCCAAGCCCCUCCGAUAAAGUGUGAGUAGUUUACUUCAGACCUACGGGUCCAUAGCUAGUAGCUAGAUGGCUUCUUCUCUCUUUUUGGAUCUCAAUACAGUGUUCUCCCCCUCUCUCGUGGAGAUCUAUUCGAUGUAAUCUUCUUUUUGCGGUGUGUUUGUUGAGAUCGAUGAAUUGUGGGUUUAUGAUCAAGUCUAUCUAUGAAUAGAAUUUGAAUCUUCUCUGAAUUCUUUUAAGUAUGAUUGGUUAUCUUUGCAAGUCUCUUUGAAUUAUCAGUUUGGUUUGUCCUACUAGAUUGGUUGUUCUUGCCAUGGGAGAAGUGCUUAGGUUUGGGUUCGAUCUUGCGGUGUCCUUUCCCAGUGACAGAAGGGGCAGCAAGGCACGUAUUGUAUCAUUGCCAUCGAGGAUAAAAAGAUGGGGUCUUUAUCAUAUUGCAUGAAACUAUCCCUCUACUUCAUGUCAUCUUGCUUAAGGCGUUACUCUAUUUUUAACUUAAUACUCUAGAUGCAUGCUGGAUAGCGGUCGAUGAGUGGAGUAAUAGUAGUAGGUGCAGAAUCAUUUCGGUCUACUUGUCUCGGACGUGAUGCCUAUAUACAUGAUCAUACCUAGAUAUUCUCAUAACCAUGCUCAAUUCUGUCAAUUGCUCAACAGUAAUUUGUUCACCCAUUGUAGAAUACUUAUGCUCUUGAGAGAAGCCACUAGUGAAACCUAUGGCCCCCGGGUCUCUUCCUCAUCAUAUCAAUCUCCAUCACUUUAUUAUUGCUUUGCUUUUACUUUAUUUACUUUGCAUCUCUAUAUCAAAAAUACCAAAAAAUAUUAUUUAUCAUCUCUAUCAGAUCUCACUUUCGUAAGUGACCGUGAAGGGAUUGACAACCCCUAAGCGUGUUGGUUGCGUUGAGCUAUUGUUUUUGUGUAGGUACGAGGGACUCGAGCGUAGCCUCCUACUGGAUUGAUACCUUGGUUCUCAAAAACUAAGGGAAAUAUUUACGCUACUUUGCUGCAUCAUCCCUUCCUCUUCGGGGAAAUCCAACGCAGUGCUCAAGAGGUAGCAACGUGUCACCGUAUCAUAGGUGCCUUCGGUCCAAUGAGCGGAUGACAUCUGUCCCAACGGUGAACCGACACGUGUUUCCUCCAGCCAAUGAUGAUUUUACAGCACCUACUUUUAUAUUUUAUCUCUCCGAUAUCAUAUAAAGUUAUCCUCUUCAUACCCACAACAUAGUUUUAUUUCUCGUUGCUAGUAGGAAGCAAACGUUCGGUGUACGUAGAGUCGUAUCAGUGGCAGAUACGGCUUGAGAUAAUAUUGAUCUUACCUUUAGCUCCUUGUGGGUUCGACAUUCCAUACUUAUCACUUCCACCUUUGGAAAUUGCUACGAUGAUUCCUUGCAGUUGGGGAUUAUCAAGCUCUUUUCUGGCACCGUUGCCGGGGAGCAAUAGCGUGGGGUUGAUAUUCUCGUGUGUGCUUGUUUGCUUUCUUCACUAAGUAGAUUUUGUUUUUCCUUUUUGUUUCUGGUUAGUUGUGGGUGAAACAUACAAUUUUUUUAAAAAUAAUGAAAAUACCCAAAAAAAUUACUUGUCUCUCAUGCCUAAAAAGUUUUUUAAAAAGAGAAGUGAAUGGAAAGUUAUACAUUGAAGAAGUGAGGGUCGAUCUUGAGCACUCGUGUUCAUGCUCACGGAAACAAUGUGGAAUUUUUCAUGGAAUUUUCUCUCUAAAUAAUUAUCCUCUUGUAUAUAUCCAUUGUAUUAUAAAAAUAAUGUGCCAAGCUUUGGUUUUAGGAUGAUUAGAUUGCUUGUUUACUAUGUGCAGAACAAAAGCAGAAACUUUGGCUGUAGCGCGUGAAUUUAAUUUUUUUACUGGAAAUUCAAAUGGGUCUGAAACUUUUUGCACAUUACUUCUGAACAAAUUGUUCAAAUUUUCAAAUUUAUUUCAUAAUUAGUGGAGUUACAUAAGUUUACGAAACUUCCAGAUUACUACAGACUGUCCUGUUUUAGACAGAUUCUGUUUUUCGCGUGUUGUUUGCUUAUUUUGAUGAAUCUAUGGCUAGUAUCGGAGGGUAUGAACCGUGGAUGAGUUGGAAUACAGUAGAUAUUACACCAAUAUGAAUUUAUAAUGAGUUCACAACAGUACCUAAAGGUAGUGAUUUGCUUUAUUAUACUAACGGAUCUCACAAAGUUUUUGUUAAAGUUUUGUGUGGAUGAAGUGUUCGAAGAACGAGGAGUUACCAAUGUGAGAAGAAUAAAGAGAGGAAAGAGCUCAAGCUUGGGGAUUACCAAGGCACCCAAAUUAAAUAUUCCAAGUAUACUCAAGCAUCUAAGCUUGGGUAUGCCCCGGUUGGCAUCCCAUCUUUCUUCUUCAACAAUUAUCGGUAUACCUCGGUUUUUGUUUUGUUCACAUGAUUUGUGGCCUUUGUGUUUUUCUUUUUUAUUUAAGAACCAUGAUAGUAUGAGAUAUCUCUUCAUUGGUUUAUAGAAUGCUUCAUGUGCUUCACUUAUAUCUUUUAAGUAUGAUCUUAUAGAAUUGCUCUUUGAGCUUCACUUAAAUAUUUGAGUAUGGUUUCAUAGAAUGCUUCAUGUGCUUCACUUAUACAUUUUGAGCUUGGAUAUUGGUUAGUCUAUGUUAAUUGUAGAACGCUCCAUGAACUUCACGUAUACCUUUUGGAGUAUGAAUAAUACUACCAUCUAAAGCGGGUUUGGAAGAGUGUCAACUUUAGGAACUAGUGAUCCCGCUAUUCCGAAUGAGAAGAAUUUUGCUUAUGUGGAGAGUAGAAAAUUUUCUAUGCUUGUAGAUCUUGAAAAGAAUGAUUUAUGAGAUGGUUAUAUUGUUGAAUUCAUUCAUGAUGCUACUGAAAAUUAUUAUGAGGGAGGAAUAUAUGCUUGUAGGAGUUGCAAUAAUAUCAAGUUUCCUCUCUAUAUGCUUAAAGCUUUGAAGUUAUACUUGUUUUGCCUUCCUAUGCUAGUUGCUUCUUGCUCCUAUAAAUUAUGUACUCACAAAAUCCCUAGGAAUAGGAAGUGGGUUAGACUUAAAUAUGCUAGUCAUAUUCUUCAUGAUGCUCCCUUUAUGUUUUAAUUCUUAUCUUUUAUGUGAGCAUCAUUGAAAUCAUCAUGCCUAGCUAAAAGGCAUUAAAGAAAAGCGCUUGCUGGGAGACAACCCAAUAUUUACCCCUACUGUUUUUGCGUGUUAUCAUGAUUAAGAUACUGUAGUAAUCAUGUUUUAUAGCUUUUGUUUCAAUAAAGUGCCAAGUAAGACCUUUGGGAAGACUUGGGUGAAAGUUAAUGUGAGCUUGCUGUAAAAAACAGAAACUUUGCGUUCACGAGAUUAGCAGCCAUUUUUUUUACAGAAGAGUUCUUUGGUGUUGAUUCAUUUUGCAGAAGAUUAAUAGACAAAUUCCUCACGUCUACCAAUUUAUUUCAUAAUUGUUUGAGUAGCAGAAGUAUGGUUAGUGUUCAGAUCAUUACAGACUGUUCUGUCUCUGACAGAUUCUGUUCUCAUUGCAUAGUUUGCUUGUUUUCUAGUUCCUAUGACUUAUAUUUCUCAAUAUAAAUUGUAGAAAUGAUAUGGUACAGUAGGCAUUGUGUGAUAAUAAUUAUGAACCUUGUCUUUGACAGUACCAAAGUGAAUGGUUUACUCUUUAUCAUACUAACCUAUCUCACGAAGUUCCGUUAAGUUUUGUGUGAUUGAAGUUUUCAAGCUUUGGGUGAGAUAUCGAUAUGAGGAGAAUAAGGAGUGGAAAGACCCUAAGCUUGGGGAUGCCCGAGGAACCCCAAGGUAAUAUUUAAGGAAGACUCAAGCGCCUAAGCUUGGGGAUGCCCCGGAAGGCAUCCCCUCUUUCGUCUUCAAAAAUAUCGGUAUACCUUACUUGGAGCUAUAUUUUUAUUCGUCACAUGAUAUAUGUUUUGCUUGGAGUGUAUUUUCAAUUUUACUUGCUGUUUGAAUAAAAUCAUUGGAUCUGAAUUAUUAAAUGAAAAAGAAUCCUCCCAUGGCUAGUUAAUUAUUUGACUACUCAGUGUCCUUCGCUAUUAUCUUUUGGAGUAGUUUGUCAUUUACUCACGUGCUUCACGUAUAUCCUAUGAGUCAAUGGUUGAAUAAUUGAACAUCAUAAAUAUGAAUUUACAUAUGUUUCAUAUGCUUAUACCAUGGGGAGUAAUGACUUCACAUAGAAUAAGUAUAGGUAGUAAACUUAUUGAAAGUUAGCAAACGUAGAAUUGGUCACUUGAAAAAUUCAUGAAAGAAUAUGGAAGGAAGAGAGAUUUCACAUAUAAAUAUACUAUCUUGGACAUCUUUUGUAAUUGUGAGCACUCAUUAAAAUAUGACAUUCUAAAAGGUUGAUGUCGGACAAGGAAGACAACGUAAUGGGUUAUGUUUUCUUAUAUCCGAAAUAAAGUAUAUUGUCUUGGAUCAUCCAACAUGUUGAGCUUGCUUUCCCCCCUCAUGCUAGCCAAAUUCUUUGCACCAAGUAGAGAUACUACUUGUGAUUCCAAACAUUCCUUAAACUAGUUUUGCCAUGAGAGUCCACCAUGCCUACCUAUGGAUUGAUUAAGAUCCUUCAAGUAAGUUAUCAUCGGUGCAUGCAAUAAAAAUUGCCUUCUAAAUAUGUAUGAUCUAUUAAUGUGGAGAAAAUAAGCUUUAUACGAUCGUGUGAUGUGGAAGAAAUAAAAGCGACGGACUGCAUAAUAAAGGUCCAUAUCACAAGUGGCAAUAUAAAGUGACGUUCUUUUGCAUUAAGAUUUUGUGCAUCCAACCAGAAAAGCACAUGACAAUCUUUGCUUCCCUCUGUGAAGGGCCUAUCUUUUACUUUUAUCUUCUACCAUUAUGCAAGAGUCAUGGUGAUCUUGACCUUUCCUUUUUACAUUUUAUCCUUUGGCAAGCACAUUGUGUUGGAAAGAUCCUUAUAUAUAUCUUAUGUGAAGGGCCAAUUGGACAUAAGCUUUCAUGAACUAUUGUUAUUGACAUUACCCUUGAGGUAAAACGUUGGGAGGCAAAACUAUAAGCCCCUAUCUUUCUCUGUGUCCGAUUAAAACUUUGAACCCACAAAUAUCACAUGAGUGUUAGCAAUUGUGAAAGACUAAAUGAUAGUUGAGUAUGUGGAGUUUGCUAAAUCAAAGCUCUGACAUAGACCCUUCCUGAAAAUAAGAUGAAUUGCAAUUGUUUGAUGACUGAGAAUAUAGUUUGUUAGUUUCAAGAAAGUUUAUGAUCUAUACUUUAACAUGUGAAUAGUUUGUUACUUGAUCAUGUAAAGUUUUAUGAAGAUGAGCCACUGUUAUGAUAUAUAAUGUUGCUAUAAAAAGUGAUUGAAACUAUCAUUGAUGAAACUUAUGCACUUGCUAGCAUUCACACUUCAUAAAUUAUUUCUUUUAUCAUUUACCUAUUCGAGGAUGAGCAGGAAUUAAGCUUGGGGAUGCUGAUACGUCUCCAACGUAUCUAUAAUUUAUGAAGUAUUCAUACUAUUAUAUUAUCAACCUUGGAUGUUUUAUAUGCAUUUAUAUGCUAUUUUAUAUGGUUUUUGGGUCUAACCUAUUAACCUAGAGCCCAGUGCCAGUUUCUGUUUUUCCUUAUUUUUGAGUUUUACAGAAAAGGAAUAUAGAACAGAGUCCAAUUGACGUGACAAUUUUUGACAAUUUUUUAUGGACCAAAAGAAGACCCCGGAGUAAAAGAGUUGGGCCAGAAGAGUCCUGGGCUGUCCAUGAGGGUGGGGGGCAUGCCCACCCCCCUGGGCGUGGGCCCCUGCCUCGUGGACGCCUCGGGCACCUCCUUAACGUGAGACCGACGCCAAAAAUUCCAAUAAAUACAGAAACCUCGGAAAAUUAACCUAGAUCGGGAGUUCCGCCACGAGAAGCCUCCGUAGCCACCGAAAACCAAUCUAGGCCCUCUCUGGCACCCUACCGGAGGGGGCCAUCAUCACCGGAGGGCAUGGAGGAGGAUCCCGGAGGGGCCAUCAUCACCAUGAAGGCCAAGGACCAGAGGAGGAACCUCUCCCCAUCCAGGGGGAGGCCAUGAAGGAGGAAGCACAAGGGGGAGAACCUCUCCUCCUCUCUCUUGGUGGAACCGGAGUGCCAUCGGGAGGGGAAUCAUCGCCGCGGUGACCGUCUUCAUCAACAUCACCAUCAUCAUCACCAUCCUCAUCUCUUUUACGCGGUCCACUCUCCCGCACCCCGCUGUAAUCCCUACUUGAACAUGGUGCUUUAUGCCACAUAUUAUGAUCCAAUGAUGUGUUGCCAUCCUAUGAUGUUUUGAGUAGAUAUCUUUUGUCUUUGGGUUGAUUGAUGAUCUAGAUUGGUAUGAGUUGUAUGUUUUAUGUUGAUGCUGUCUAUGGUGCCCUCCGUGUCGCGCAAGCGUGAGGGGUUCCCGCUGUAGGGUGUUGCAAUACAUUAAUGAUUCGCUUAUAGUGGGUUGGUGAGUGACUGAAACACAAACCCGAGUAAGGGGAUUGCUGCGUAUGGGAAUAAAGAGGACUUGAUGCUUUAAUGCUAUGGUUGGGUUUUACCUUAAUGAUCUUUAGUAGUUGUGGAUGCUUUCUAGAGUUCCAAUCAUAAGUGCAUAUGAUCCAAGUAGAGAAAGUAUGUUAGCUUAUGCCUCUCCCUCAUAUGAAACUGCAAUAGUGAUUACCGGUCUUGUUAACGAUUGCCUAGGACAAUUCCGCACACCGAUCCACCAUUAUUACACACUCAUAUAUUUAGUAAUAUAUUCUAACUUUAUGAUAACAACACCUACUUUUAUAUUUUAUCUCUCCGACAUCAUAUAAAGUUAUCUUCUUCAUACCCACAACAUAGUUUUAUUUCUUGUUGCUAGUUGGAAGCAAACGUUCGGUGUAUGUAGAGUCGUAUCAGUGGCAGAUAGAGCUUGAGAGAAUAUUGAUCUUACCUUUAGCUCCUUGUGGGUUCGACACUCCAUACUUAUCACUUCCACCUUUGUAAAUUGCUACGAUGAUUCCUUUCACUUGGGGAUUAUCACUUCACUCCCCGGCAACGGCGCCAGAAAAUAGCCUUGAUGACCCACAAGUAUAGGGGAUCAAUUGUAGCUCUUUUCGAUAAGUAAAAGUGUCAAACCCAAUGAGGAGCAGAAGUAAAUGACAAGUGGUUUCCAGUAAGGUAAUGUUUGGAAGUGCUGAAAUUGUAAGUAGCAGAGUAGCUUGAUAGGAAGAUAAUUUGUAACGAGCAAGUAAGGAUAAUAGUAACAAAAGUGCAGCAAGGUAGCCCAAUCCUUUCGAGGCAAAGGACAUGCCAAAACGGCCUCUUAUGAUAAGCAAAGCGUUCUUGAGGGUACACGGGAAUUUCAUCUAGUCACUUUCAUCAUGUUGGUUUAAUUCAUGUUCGGUACUUUGAUAAUUUGAUAUGUGGGUGGACCGGUGCUUCGGUGUUGUUCUUACUUGAACAAACCUCCUUCUUAUGAUUAACCCUCCUGCAAGCAUCCACAACUACAAGAAAAGUAUUAAGAAUAAAUUCUAACCAUAGCAUUAAACUUUUGGAUCCAAUCGGUCCCUUAUGGAAUAGCGCAUAAACUGGGGUUUAUGCUUCUGUCACUCUCGCAACCCAUGAUCUAAUUGCUACUCCACAAUGCAGUCCCUUAAGCCCGAAUAUGGUGAAGUGUCAUGUAGUCGACGUUCACAUGAAACCACUAAGGGAAUCACAACAUACAUACUAUCACAAUAUCGAACACAUAUCAAAUUCACAUGAUUACUUGCAACAUGAUUUCUCCCGUGACCUCAAGAACAAAGGUAACCACUCACAAAUGAUAAACAUGCUCAUGAUCAGAGGGGUAUUAAAUAGCAUAUUGGAUAUGAACAUAUAAUCUUCCACCAAAUAAACCAUAUAGUAAUCAACUACAAGAUGUAAUCAACACUACUAGUCUCACCCACAAGUACCAAUCUAUAGUUCCGGUAACAAGAUUGAACACAAGAGAUGAACUAGCGUUUGAGAGGAGAUGGUGAUGUUGAAGAUGUUGAUGCAGAUUGCCCUCCCUAAGAUGAGAGAGUUGUUGGUGAUGAUGAUGACGAUGAUUUCCCCCUCCGGGAGGGAAGUUCCCCCGGCGGAACCGCUCCGCCGGAGAGCAAAAGUGCUCCUGCCCAAGUUCCGCCUCGAAGUGGCGGUGCUUCGUCCCGAAAGUCCUCCCCUUAUUUUUUCUAGGUCAAAAUGUCUUAUAUACCAAAAGAUGGGCAUUGAAGGUGGGCCGAGGAGACCACAACCCCUAGGGCAUGCCAGGGGGCCCUGGCGCGCCCAGGUGGGUUGUGCCCACCUGGUGGCCCCCCUCUGCUAGUUAUUUGCUCCAAUAAUUCUUAUAUAUUCCAUAAAAAAAUCCUCAUGAAGUUUCAGCUCAUUUGGAGUUGUGCAAAAUAGUUAGCCUGACGUAGCUUUUUCAGGUCCAGAUUUCCAACUGCCUGAAUUCUCCCUCUUGGUGUGUACCUUGCAAAUUAUGAGAGAAAAGGCAUUAUAAUUACUCCAAAAAGCAUUAUUAUGGAUUAAAACAUUAUAAAUAACAGUAAGAAAACAUGAUGCAAAAUGGACGUAUCACUCAUAUGCUUUAUGAUGUUGCCAUCAACAAGAGCCCAUACACAUCAAGCCAUAAUUUAGUUCAUUAAUGAGGGACACAAUGAGUCUAGGGCACCACAGACAUGGAAAAGUCGAGCCACAAUGCUCUAAACUGAAAGACUCCGUAAUGUUGUCGCUACAAAUUGGACAUGUCAACACAUGGAAAGAACUAUGCCAGCGUGUGGCAUGGAAGGCGUGGGAGCACAAAAACCUAACGUCCUCCUCACCCCUAGUCUUCAGGUCCAACAAACAUAUGGGACACAUUACACAGGGCUCAUGCCGACGUUUUUACUUGGCUUGUGCCACUAGAGCUUUGGCGGCAUUUGUUUUUUCUUCUUCAGUGACCGCCUCUUUAAACAAGAGGUGUACGGAUUGUUGUAGACAAAAGAUACCCAGAGUUCCCCUAUCCUGUUGUCCAAGUCGUACCACAAUUUCCUCGGCCUUGCAGCGAUUGGGGGCGACAAUGUCUACUCUCAGGGUAUCCCGUAGGAUAACGUGGCUCAGUUAUCUUCGGGGAGGUUGUACUUGCUAGCCACCCGCUCCUCGGUGGGCAUCCCAUGGAUGAGUUUGUGUGUGGGGAGGGGGGCAUUGUGGAUCAGAAAUACGGUGGUGCAGGUGGCGACCUCAACCCGAUGGCAUAUCUGGUGCACCGGAGCAAUUGGUGUUACCAGUGCACCGGACCCCUGUUGCACAUUCAAAAUUGUUCGGAAAUUAUCAGAAAAAACUAGUAUAUGUUGUCACAAUAUUUCAUUUCAAAAUUUUGAUACAUGGCACACUUUCAGAACGAAACAUGGCACACUUUCAUACUAGUGGUCGUCAGGUGACAAGUUCGUCAUCGGGUGUAAUGUGGGUCUCUGCCACACUUUCAUUCCUAUGGGACAAAGCUGAUCGAAGCAUGCAUGGAUACAUUUAGCCAUGUACACGUGGUCACAUACCGGGAGGUCUGAUCAGAGUCGGAGUGUGCCAUGAAAAUCUGCAAUUCAAGACCGGUUGAGUAGUUCCAUGGGCAUUGUAUAGUGCGACAUUGGUUGUUGGUCAAAGGGCCAGCUUUUUGGCAGCUAAAAAGAUAAGCCACCUCCUCUUUAGAUUUUUCAUAAGCCGCCUCUUUAAUUUGUUGAGGCUUCUAAACUAGUUACGGAAUAAUUAAUUUAGAAGUCUCAACAAAUUUAGGGAGGCAGCUUAUUUUUAUAUUAAGCCACCAAAAGAACUGGCGCAAAGCCUCACAUCAAAGAUGGUCCUUCAGAACGAAACCCUCAAAAAAUAAGAGAGGGUAUAUGUCUCGCCCAUGGAGCAAGUUUUAAUGGACUGUUGCUGCCCUUAGGCCCGCCCAAAUAAACUGUCCUUACUCACUAGUCACUACCACAUAGUUGAGUGUUGAUAUUCACCAUGGUGUGCACAGUUAAAUAGAGUAACCAACUUCAUGUAUGUUUCAUGCAACAAAGAAGUGUUUGAUUUUUUUUAAAUGUCAUUUAAUUUAAAAAUAAUAUCAUGUAAUUUAAAAAAUGUUCAAUGGAACUUAAAAAUGGUUAAUGUAAUUAGAAAACGUACAUUAAUGAAAAAUAUUCAUGUAAUAAAAUAGAAUGUUCAACACAUUUUUAAUAAGUGUUCAAUGCGUUCAAAAAUGAUAUAAUAACAAAAGUGUUCAAUACAAUUUUUUCAAAUGUUUACAUAAUUUUAAAAAACUCAUUGAAAAAUUAAGGUAAUUAAAUAAUGUUUGGCACAUUUAAAACACAUGUUCAUGUAAUUUUAUUUUUUAUAAAAAAUUUAGGAGUUGAAGGAGGACUAGAAAUGAAAGGAAAAAAGUAGCUAAAAAUAGAGCAACAGGUUAGGGAUCCAAAAUGCUUACAUUCGAACUUUAUUCUCUCAAUUGUAGUGGUUUAUGCAUCCCAAAUACUUAUUACCUCAAGAUAUGUCUCCUUGGCUCAUAUGUAAAGAGAUAUAUACAUGGAGAAGGCAAAAUUUGAAAUGCUAUAAUUGAUGCAUAAUAUCAUGCUUCAUCUCUAAACAUUUCCCUACAAAUGUUUAGAAUUGCGAUAUAGUAGGCACAUCAACCUUUUGCAACGGGGUACUGUGAUGAGAAAGAAUUGUGAAGUUUGCCUACAAAUGGUCUACUAGAGAUGGUUAUAAGGUGAGGAUUUGAGAAGACACGUAGUAUGGGUCUUUCCUUCAUUUGUCGAAUACUACACAUAUAUUGCAUAUGUAGAGAGUAGACUAAAAAUGUUCGGCGAAUUUCGGAUAGACACACCUUGGUGCUCUUGUUUAGAAGAAUUUCAUGCAUGAUAAUGCCUUAGAUUGUAAACAUCCAGAACCCGGCACCAAUCCAUCUACCCAGUUCCCGCAUGUUCAUAUCUAAAUGCUGAGCUUUCAAAUGUGCCAGGACCAAUUGACACCAUGGCCGCACAUGAUGGACGUGACCGAGACUCGUUUCUUCACCUAUGGGGGAGUCGCCUUGCAAAGCUUAUCUACUGGAAGCCAACCACCGCUCAUGCUCCGUUGAUAUCCACAAUGAUGUUCUCCUGGUCCACGGGGUGCAUAGGAUCGGGAUUGAGGUCAACAGGCUAGGGGUGGUGCUUGUUAGCCAGGUUCCACGAUAGGGUGCCACUCAACCAUCGUGUUGAAGUCUCCGACCUCGCCGUACGCCGGGGCUAAGUUAUUGUGAGAUGAUAUACGGGAUGUUAGCCAACCUCGCUACUGGGAACUGGGGUUGUUAAACUUCCCCGCUCCCUCACUUUGCCAAAUGCAAGGGUUUCGACUAUGAUUUUCCCGUUGUGGAGUAAGACAGGGUGAAGAUGUAGUUCAAGGGUCUCAUGAACCGAUUCUAGACAUGCAUGCAUACCGCCCAGGGCGGCUGGUUUUUAAUUACUCUGGUAGAUGUCUGCUCUACACCUCCGCGUCUGCAUGGCCUCGGGUGUUCUACCAUUUCGUUUAAUUACUUUCGUAUUAUUCCACAUCACCACUUUGGUUUAUGUAUGUAUGUACUGGUGUGCUAAUGGUGACUUGUGAUGGUUGUGAAAUUGUAUGAGUAGCAAUGUUACGCGUUUUUCAUAAGUAUGUAAUAAAUUUGUCUUCUUAUGUACUCACUCUGUUUCAUAAUUGCUUGUAAUUCAAAUUUCCACUAAAACUGUGGCAAGAACUAUGGAACCAAGCGAGUAUAUUGCAUGCAUUAUUAUGUUCAUCACACCGUUUUCCCUGAUGUGAACAUAUUCUGCUCAUCUUGCUUUUCCCAUCAAGCAUCAGUAUUGUUAACAGUUCCUUCAUGUUCCUUAUAGUAGAUGAUAUCCUGCGCGUUGCUGCGGAAACCUUGUUAAAAAUUUGUAUCAUAGGUGCUACAAAAUGAACUAAAACUAAAGCAACACAAACAUUAAUUUUAAACAUUAAAAACAUGAAGCAUGUAGCAAAAUAAUAUAUAAAAAAGUGCAAAACCUCUAAAUUAUAGUACUAUAUAUAAAUGCUAUUUCUUGCAAAAAAGAAACAUUAACUACAUGCUGUCGAUGACAGUACCAAAAAAAAGUCAACACACAUACUGUUAGAGUUAGUACAUGGGCUGAUAGGGUAAGUGGACACAACUGUACACCAUAAAAAAAUAUUAAUGAGACAUCCAUCUCUGUUUUAAGUUUUAACCUGUUUUGCACAUCAAUCUUGGCAACUAUCGCCCUCUUUUUCUAUAAAAAAAAGAGAUACACAUAAGUAUCAUUAUUAAUUGCAUGCAUUUGUGUGUAUAAGCAUAAUAUGAAUGAACAAUUUGACCUUCCAAUAUGAGAUUUGGUCAAAUCUCGAUGCACACUCUAUAUCCCCAGCGUAAGCUAGUGUAACAAUACUUGAAAGACAUGAAACAUGCAUCUUACGACUACAUAAUCAGUUGCACUUUCUUCGGGCAUAAAAUUAAUCUGAAUUUUUUAUUUCCAAAAAAUAGCGGACAGUAAAUUUGUUUAGUCAACUAAUAGAACAUGAGUUGAGGAGGGGCGGUUGAUUAUUCAUAUGGCUGUAUAAAAACUUCUUUUUCUUGUUUUACAACACCGUGGAUGAAGGUAAAUUUUGGUAGUCAUCAGCAUAUAUUGUGAAAUUGACCAUGAAUAUGAAUAAAAUAACAGGUGGAUGACAUUAGUGAAAAAUAUAUCAAUGGAUAUGAAAGAUUUAAAUGGGUAUGUCUGCACAUGUACUGAAAAGCAACAAACAUGUCUGUCUCAUCAGUGGAGUAAUAAGAAGAGACCACAGGUCAAGCGUAAGGAAUGAUAUACAGCAAUUAAGUAUUAAACUGUAGUCAGGCCAUGACUUACUUUCUUGGUAAAAGUAAUCUUGUUCAUAUGUAGUUCUCACCUGAAACUUUGAGGCAGCUUAUUUAUGAACGUAUGAUACUUUGUCAUAACUCUGACGUGUUGCUGUACGAAAUGAUGAGAGAUUAAGAUUUAUUCCAGUAGCAUCCCACACAAAAAGUUAGUUAGGAACCAUAUCAUACCAGAAUGGAUUCCAGCAAUCUGAACUUUCCCACGAUCCUGAAAAUUGCCUCCUUUUUUUGCGCCGACCUGAAAAUUGGUUCCACCUAACUGAAAGAUUCCAAGUUGUAUGAUACAUGUGAAUUUACUGCCAUCUGCAGAGACAAACUUACAUAAAAGAAAAUUCGAGAUUUUCCUAAUUAAUUACAUGCCAAAGCAUGCAGAAAUCAGAUUGUGCAAGUAACUUGCGUAAGUCAUGUAUAUCGUACGAUUCCCUUUCUAUCAAAUAAAAAAGGAUGAGAGUAAAUUAAUGCCACAACCAGGAUGUAGUCCUGUUUUUCUAAUUCCAAAUCAAUCUUUUUUAGGGGACUUCUGAUUAAUCUGGGAGAAGACGUCUGUACCUCAUUGCCUCCAGUUCUUGAUGUGUGAUGUCGUCUCUAGUCAUGCUCUCCUGUCUCUCCCCUCGACAGAGCCGCCGCCACACUCGGUCAUGCUCCCCUACCUUCUCUCUCACAUAGCUGCAAGAUGUCAGAUCGGUCGAGCGGCUGCAGGCGGAAGGAGCCGAGCCGCGGAAGGCAGGAGGUACAGACCAGUCCUCGACCAGAUGGACAGCUUCAGCGGCUAAAGAGUAGGAUCUGGGCGCUUCGUUCAAACCGGUAGUACGGUGGCACCGCUGCAGCUGCAACCUCUGUAGUCCGCUCGACAUGGACGUGGUGGCACUCGGUUGUCGCUUCCGCAGCCAAAAGUCGGGCCACCACAGAAGCUAGAAGCCAUGGCUGCCAGACCUAGGAAAGGGGUUGGAGCACAGGGUCCUAGCUGCCGCUCAUCUUCCAUGGAGGCAGAUUUUUCCAACCGGAGAGAAGAUGGGACGUGCAGACGAAACGGAGGAGUAUAUGCGGUGGGGAGUUGAGGAGAAGAUGGUGUGUCGCUUUAAAGAGUAGAUAGACUAUCUGAUCGGUUUUAGAAUACGAAGAGGAACCGAUGCGUAGUAAAAAAAUUAAAUCACAUAAUUUGUUUUCUGUCGUUUUUCUUUUUGGCUGAGGUGGCAAAUUUGCUGAGGUGGUUGGUUGCAUGUUGUUGCUGAUGUGGGUAAGCUGCAUGUCAAGAGAAAUCAUCUAGUGGGGGCUCCUAUUUAGAUAUAGAAGAUAUAAAAAGUUAAUUAACUCUAGCACCCUUAUAAAAAACUAGGAAAUUCGGUGUUCUUUUUUCCUUUUGCAAGGGAGACUCUUUGCCCUUUAUUUUUCGGGGGCUAUAUCUUUUGAAAUGGAUAGAAUGUCUCACACUUCUUCGUCGACCGGUAUAUGUAUGUGCACAACCAUUCUAUUUACAAAGUUUCGAAUCCUUAGAAAACUAAAAUUAAGAGCCGAAAAAAUCACAUAAAACAGUAACAUGUUAGAACUUAGUGUUUAAGAUUUCCUUUCUGUAUAUUGUUUCGCCCCUGACCAAUAUUCACAAUUUUUGAAGAACUGGACAAAAAAUGUUUCACCUUGAUCGAAGAUAUGAGUAUAUAUGUGACUAUAAGAAUGGCGAGCUCACUCUAAACCAGUACAAUACAACUUAAUUUGUUCUACUACUCCUAAUUUGGUUUUAAUCUUUUUAGAACCAUCACCUAUGGUAAUUAUUCAAAUUUGAUAUACUAUUUUCGACCAAAAUUAUGUCUUCUUCUUGACUCCUGUCGAAAAUUGCUAAUUUUCUUGGAAACCAUUAAAAAAAAGUCAACAAAUAGUUUUCUCCGGAUGUCUACACUCUACAUCUAGAGACGACAAAACCUGGAGCCUCCACAUAUUACGGUCAAUGCACAAGUGCUAAAAGAAACCCGUGCCUCUGUUUUAUUCAGAUGAACGACCUUGUACUUCUUUAUUAUUGGUAAGAUCUAUUCUCCCAAAAAAUACUACUUCAAGUCUUUAUUUGGAUAUAUGUAUAUGAUUUAGAAAUGGAGAGAUGCAAGGAAACCUGAUAAUGGUAACAGGACAUGUAAGAGCAACUGACAGGCGGCAUGGAGCGAAGAUAUCUCUAUUCAAAUCUCCUUUUCAGCCUUGGAGGCUGCUCUUCCAGCAUCCAAACCUCAUCUCUCAAUUAUGUUAUGAUGUAGUCCUCAUCAAAUAUAUCUCAGAUCUCACUGUAGGAGAAGCAACAAUAAAGUAUAAGACAAAGGCAAUCCUUAACUGAAAUGUUAAGAAUUGCAGUGACUGAAGAAAGAAAUGUUGACCUAGGAUCAGCCAAAAAUAAAGUUUGAUCCAACUCCGACACGAUGAGUGUGACAUUCAAGUAUCUUGCAACUGUCACCAUAUCACAUAUCUGAUUUAACAGUGAAACUUCUAUUGUUCAGUUUUAGAAUUUCAAUAGCAGCAAUGACUCAGAAAUAGACAGUGAUGUAGAUGCAUUGAGAUUGGCACAACCGCACAAGCAGUACUUACAAGUGCGCACAUCUGGUUGAGACUGCCAUUGUAGGACAACAAUUUUUAGCCAUAUUCCUGUAGAACCAAUAAGAUCAAAUGGCGGUACAGACUUCAACAUGGAUUGAAUUAGUAUUCAACUACACAUGACACACACUGGUUAAUUAGCUAUUGAUAUGAUAUGUUCUCGUCAAACACAGAACUUUGAGAGAAAUAGUAGGUGUACUGUUAUCAACAUUAUCCAGAGAGAAAAUAAUCCUAUGAAUUUAUCAUAAUUUGAUACAUCCAUCAUUAUACACAUGGAAUUUUUGGAUUCUUCCAUCUAUCAUUUCAGCUUCAAUGUGUACCAAUUUAUACAUACACAAUAUUUUUGGCCAGGGAAAGGUAUAGAAUUUUAACGAAAGAGAACGAUGAAUCAAAAAACUCACCUGAGAAACUCAUGAGGGCCUUCCUACUUGCCCGGGUGAAAACUACUUUAGAUUUCACGCAAAUGUGAUAGUAUUCCAGUAGGUGAUAAUUAAGAUUGUCCUUGCUUACCCUCCACAAUGAGUUUCUCAAACUCGCACAAGAAGCACCAUUCCUUUUGGGAACCUAGAAAAUACAAUAGCAAUAUACUGUACCUCAAGGGAAUGCGCUGAAUAACAUAAGAAAGAGUUUAGCAUUAAUUUAUCAUUUUUGAAUGAAUCCCUUUGAAAAGGUACGCUGUAAGUGGUCGGGUAAAGGCCAAGCACUGAAGGACAACAUUUGCGUAGCAACUGUAAAAAGAAAUAAAAUAAGAAGGUUGGGAAAAAACAACAACAUUGAACUGCUAAACUCAGAUUCAGUAAAUUGUUUACGCCCUAAUAUGUUUAAUUUUCAAGAAUCUUUAGGCAUGAGUUUCAUUUGUGAAUCCACAUAACUGCCACUGGAGUAUUGUCUCGUUAAAGAGAAACAAUUUUGAAAGUGACAGGUUUUAACAAUCUCAGAAUUAUAACCUAUAGAAUACACCUAACAAAAGCAAAAAAAUGUCCAGCAUAUUUAGUUUCAAAAUAGCUAUUAAACAGUUUAGUAAUUGUUUGCCUGUUCCUAGGGUUCGAAACAACAAAAGGACGGAAUUCCACAUUGUCAAAGUUGUAGAGCAAAAAAAAGUGUCUUUGACACUUCGAUAACCAUUAGGUUCAGCAUACAAAAGUGUAUGUUGGCGAUUAAAUGAGUCAUCAAGUUUUACUUCCCGAUUCCGAUGGAUAAUGCCUCACAACUGUUCAAGCAGUUUCUUGUCUGAUCGAACUUUUGUCCUUGGCAGAUUACCUCGCAACACAACUCGGAUCUUUGAUUUAAUGGGAAUUCAGGAAGAUCAUCAGCCUUUGCAGAUCGAUCAGGCGCUUACAAUAUGUCAUUGUAAUUAGGAACUGUACAUAAUUAAAAAUAUUCAUGUAGUAAAAUACGAUGGAUAACACAUUUUUAGUGUUCAAUCCGCUUAAAAACUAUAUUAUAAUAAAAAAAUCCAUACAUUUUUUCCAUAUGUUUAUGUAAUUUUUAAGAAAUGUCACUGAAAAUUUCAGGUAAAAAAAUGUUUGGAAUAUAUUUUUAAAAAGCAUGCAAAUUUAUUUGUUAUUAAAAAAUUAAGAGUGGAAGGGCGAUUAGAAGUGCAAGGAAAAGUAGCUAAAAAUAGAGCAGCAAGUUAGGGACCGAAAAUGCUUACAUUCGAAGUUUAUUCUCUCCGUUGUAGUGGUUUAGGCAUCCCAAAUAUUUAUUACUUCAAUAUAUGUCUCCUUGGCUCAUGGGCAAAGUGAUAUAUGCAUGGUGAAGGCAAAAAUUGAGAUACUAUAAUUGAUGUAUAAUAUCAUGCUUCAUCUUCAAACAUUUUACGUUGUGAUAUAGUAGGCACAUCAACCAUCAACGGGGUACUGUGAGGAGAAAAAUUUGUGAGGUGAGGAUUUGAGAAGACACCAAGUAUGGGUCUUUUCCUUCAUUUGUACAAUACUAGACAUAUAUUGCAUAUGUAGAGAGUAUAUUAAAAAUGUUCAACAUAUUUGGGAUGGACACACCUUGGUGCUCUUGUUUACAAGAAUGUCACCCAUGAUAAUGCCUUAGAUUGUAAACACCCAUAACCCGACACCAAUCCAUGCAACCAAAUCCCGCAUGUUCAUAUAUAAGCGCUGAGCUUUUAAAUGUGCUACUACGAAGUGACACCAUGGCCAAUGUGAUGGAGGUGACCGAGACACGUUUCUUCGCCUAUGGGGGAGUCGCAUUGCAAGGCUUAUCCACUGGAAGCCAACUGACCGCUCACGCUCCAUUCAUAUUCACCUUUAUGUUCUCCUAGUCCACGGGACACACAGGAUCGGCACUGAGGUCAACAUGCCAAGGUUGAUGCUUGUUAGCCAGGUUCAAUGAUAGGGUGCCACUGGACUACUACGUCGAAGUCUCCGACCUCGCCAUCCGUCGGGGUUACAUUGCUGUGAGCUGAUCUAUGGGAUGUUAGCCAACCUCGCCACCGGGAACUGUGGUUGUUAAACUUCCCUGCUCCCUCACUUUGGCAAAUGUCAAGGGUUUUGACCGUGAUUUUUUCCAUUGUAUUGGCUAGUGGCUAGUAGGUUUUACUAGUGGCUUCUCUCGAGAAAAAUAGCAAAUGGUGGGUAAACAAAUUACUGUUGGGAAAUUGAUAGAACUUCAAAUAAUCAUGACGAUAUCCAGGCAAUGAUCAUUACAUAGGCAUCACGUACAAGAUUAGUAGACCGACUCCUGCCUGCAUCUGCUACUAUUACUCCACAUAUCGUCCGCUAUCCAGCAUGCAUCUAGUGUAUUAAGUUCAUGGAGAAACGGAGUAAUGCAAUAAGAACGAUGACAUGAUGUAGACAAGAUCUAUCUAUGUAGAGAUAGACCCCAUUCGUUUUAUCCUUAGUAGCAACGAUACAUACGUGUCGGUUCCCCUUCUGUCACUGGGAUCAAGCACCGUAAGAUCGAACCCACUACAAAGCACCUCUUCCCAUUGCAAGAUAAAUAGAUCAAGUUGGCUAAACAAAACCCAAAUAUCGGAGAAGAAAUACGAGGCUAUAAGCAAUCAUGCAUAUAAGAGAUAAAAAAACUCAAAUAACUUUCAUGGAUAUAAAAAGAUAGAUCUGAUCAUAAACUCAAAGUUCAUCCGAUCCCAACAAACACACCGCAAAAAGUGUUACAUCAUAUGGAUCUCCAAGAGACCAUUGUAUUGAGAAUCAAACGAGAGAGAGAAAGCCAUCUAGCUACUAACUGCGGACCCAAAGGUCUACAAAGAACUACUCACGCAUCAUCGGAGAGGCACCAAUGGAAGUGGUGAACCCCUUCGUGAUGGUGUCUAGAUUGGAUCUGCUGGUUCUGGACUCUGUGGCGGCUGGAAUUGAUUUUUGUCGACUCCCCUAGGGUUUUCUGGAAUAUUGGGGUAUUUAUAGAGCAAAGAGGCGGUCUGGAGGGCACCCGAGGUGGGCACAACCCAGCAGGGUGCGCCUGGGUCUCCAAGCGCACCCUAGUGGGUUGUGCACCCCUCGGAGCACCCCUAGGCGCUGCGUAGGCCCAUUGGGUGUCUUCUGGUCCAUAAAAAAUCUCCGUAAAGUUUCACCACAUUUGGACUCCGUUUGGUAUUGAUUUUCUCCGAUGUAAAAAACGUGCAAAAAACAGCAAUGGGCACUUGACACUAUGUCAAUAGGUUAGUACCAAAAAAGAUAUAAAAUGACUAUAAAAUGAUUACGAAACAUCCAAGAUUGAUAAUAUAGCAGCAUGGAACAAUCAAAAAUUACAGAUACGUUGGAGACGUAUCAGCAUCCCCAAGCUUAACUCCUACUCAUCUUCGAUUAGGUAAGUGAUAAAAACAGAAUUUUUGAUGUGGAAUGCUGCCUAACAUGUCAUCUCAUAUUUCUUUUCUUUAUAGAAUGGACAUUUGGACUUUUAUAUUAUUCAAAGCAAUAGUCUAGUUUUGACAUGAUAACUUAAAUACUCAAGCAUAUCAACAAGCAACCAUGUCUUUCAAAAUAUCAACGCUAAAAUAAGCUAUCCCUAGCCCAUCAUGCACAAUUAUUGAUCCAUUCAUGAAACACACUCGCCUAUUAACUACACCCAAUGCUCAAGUACGAUCAUAGUGCCUCCUAGUUGGUUCUUUUAUAAGAGAAGAUGGAGACUCAAAUUCAAAAUAAAAAUUGCAUAAAGUAAAAGAAAGGCCCUUCGCAGAGGGAAGUAGGGAUUUGUAGAGGUGCUAGAGCUCAAAGCAAAAAACUUAGAGAUGAAAACAUUUGGGAGGUGUAUCCUUCUCACCAACGAAAACGACUUAGAGUUCCCAACACUUUCUAUGAUAGAUAUAUCAUAGGCGGUUCCCAAAUAGAACAUAAAGUUUAUUCCUUUUUCCACCAUACUUUCACUUUCCAUGGCUAGCCGUAUCCAUAGUUGCCCUCCAUACCAACACUUUCCAAGGAAUUUGUUAUUUGACAACAUAAAGUAAAUUCAUUUUUUCAUUUCGAGACUGGGCAUCCCUAAUGCCUUUGCCUUACUCUUGUGCAAUGACAAGUGAAUAAACACUAAUCGUGAGAAUAACACAUCUAGCAUGAAAAAUAUUAGCCACCCUCACCGCUCUGCGAGCGGAACGAACACACAAAAGAGAAGUUUAUUUUGAAAAUUAGAGAUGGCACAUACAAAUUUGCUUAGAACGGCGAAAGAAUACCACAUAUAGGAAGAUACAGUGGACUCACGUGGCAAAACUGGUUUAAAGGUUUUUGGAUGCACAAGUAGUGAUCAUACUUAGUGCAAAAUGAAGGCUAGCAAAAGAUUGAGAAGCGACCAACCAAGAAACGAAUAAUCUCAUAAGUGAGAAUUAAGCAUAAUUAACACAUAAUAAUGCACCACAAGUAGGAUAUAAUUUCAUUUCAUAAUUAUCGACUUUCGUGCUUGCAUAGGGAAUCACAAACCUUAACACCAAUAUUCUUACUAAAGCAUAAUUACUCAUCAAGAUGACUCACAUAUCACAUCAUCAUAUCUCAAAACUAUUACUAAGAAUCAAGUUUAUUUUGCCUAAUGAUCUUCAUGAAAGUUUGUAUUAUAUCCUUCUUGGAUAUCCAUCACUUUGGGACUAAUUUUCAUAUGUUACUUUUGACAAGCUCAAGCAAAUAUAAGUGAAGAUCAUGAGCAUAAUUUUUCUUUCUCUCAAAUUUAUUUAAGUGAAGCAGGAGAGAAUUUCUUGAAAAUUUUACUAACUCUAAAAUAAAUCUAAGUGAAGCAAGAGAGCAUUUCUUCAAAAAUACUAAAGCACACCGUGCUCAAAAAGAUAUAAGUGAAGCACUAGAGCAAGUCCAUAGCUCAUAAAAAUUUAAGUGAAGCAUAGAGAGCAAUUCUAAAAAGUCAUGACAUAAUUUUGGCUCUCUCAAAUAAGGUGUGCCUAGCAAGGAACCAAGACUAAAAACACAAAAUAAAACAAGUAAAGACUCGUAUCAUACAAGACGCUCUAAGAAAAGCACAUAGUCUGUGACGAAUAAAAAUAUAGCUUCGAGUAAAAUAUUGAUGGUCGUUAGAAGAAAGAGGGAUGCCACUCGGGGGCAUCCCCAGGCUUAGUUGCUUGCUCUAUUUUGGAUAAUAGCUUGGGAUUGCGGGGCAUCCCCAAGCUUAGGCUCUUCUUACUCCUUAUUCCUACAUCCAUCAUAAGAUAACCCAAAACUUGAAAACUUCAAUCACACAAAACUCAACAAAAGCCUUCGUGAGAUCCGUUAGUAUAAGAAAACAAAUCACUACUAUAAGUAUUGUAGUAAACCAAUUCAUAUUUUGUCCUUCCAUUAUAUCUAAUGUAUUCCAACUUUUCUAUGGCAAAAACUCAUCAAAGAAAACCAUAGAGCCAUCAAAAUAAGCACACAACGCAAGGAAAACAGAAUCUGUCAAAACAAAACAGUCUAUAGCAAUCUGGAUAUACUUAUGUAACUCAACUUUGAAAAAUUAGGAUGACCUGAGAAAUUCGUAUAUUAAUCUACUGCAAAAGGAAUGCGUAUUUUAUCGCUCUCUGGUUAAAAAUGAAAAUUAUUUUCGCAAGCUCAAAAGUUUUUGUUUUUUCGGCAAGAUUAAACAACUAUCACCCAAGAAGAUCCUAAAUGCUUUAUUUGGCACAAACACUAAUUAAAACACAAAAAACACAAUCAUAACAGUAAAAUAAUUGUGCUAACACUCAAAAACAGGAAGCAAAAAUCAAAAAUAAAUUUUAUUCAUUAGGUUGCCUCCCAACAAGCGCUAGUUUUAUGCCCUUAGCUAGGCAUAAAGCAAGGAUGUAAGUUUUUUCACCCUUCUUCUUAAUUCCCUUGGAGCUGUUUUCAUCAUGGGGUUUUGUAAAAUCAACAUAAAAAUAUUAUCCAUAGAAACCUUAGCAUUAUUAAGUUGCCCAUUAUCAUAACCACGUUGAUUUCCGGCAACAUUCCAAGAGUAAUGCUAAAUAACAUUAUUGAAAACUUGUUGGAUUAUAUCUAAAACGGGGACUUCCUUUUUAAGAUAAUCACUAUUGUAAAGAAUUUAAUCUAUCACGGGCUUUUCAUGGUUCAUACCAUAAAAAUCAAAGAUUUCCCUAGCUUCCCGUAUGAUAUAGUCAAACUCAUUCAUAAGAACGGGAGUGGCCAACUUUUUAGCCUUAGAAUUCUUUAUAACAGGGAGCUCAAAAAACAAUCUUUGCAAAGUAGGAUGAGUACGGAUAAAUUUAGUCUCAAGUUUUAGAACUAGUGCUGAAAUAGCAUCCGCAUAAUAUCUAGUAGUUCUAAGUAUAGGAGCAUCAUCAAGACUUAGGUUUCCCACACAAUUGAAAAAUUCUUGGAUACGUUCCUUUGCCAUAACAUUCCCCUGCUCCAAGAUAAAAGUCUUAGCAUCCAGAUUGCCCAGACGUCCAAUCUUAGGAGUUAGGCCAUCAUCUGUUGGUGCCAUACUAAAAUCACUCAUGAUUGCAAGCAAAGGAUAGAUCUGACGAGGAAACUGCGAAUGAAAAAGAGGGGCGAAUAAAACAGCAAAUUUUUGUGAAGUGGGGGAGAGGAAAACGAGAGGCAAAUGGCAAAUAAUGUAAAUUGUGAGGAGAUAAGAUUUGUGAUUAGGAUCUUGAUAUAUGUUGAAGAUCCUCCCCGGCAACAGCGCCAAAAAUUCCUUUUGAUAUCGCUCGAAGCUACGUCGGUAUUUUCCCAAAGAGGAAGGGAUGAUGCAGCACAACAGCGGUAGGUAUUUCCCUCAGAUAUGAAACCAAGGUUAUCGAACCAGUAGGAGAACCAAGCAACACAAGGUAAAUAGCACCUGAACACAAACAACAAAUACUCGCAACCUGACGUUUAAAAGGGGUUGUCAAUCCCUUUCAGGUAACGGCGCCAUAUGCCAACGGACGUGAGAGAGUUCUAAAUAUUGAUAGAUAGAACACCAACUAAAAUAAAUUGUAGCAAGGUAUUUUUGUAUUUUUGGUUUUAGUAGAUCUUAAAAUAAAAGGCAAAUAAAAUAGAUCGCAAAGGCAAAUAAUAAGAGAGGGAGAGAGACCUGGGGGCCGUAGGUUUCACUAGUGGCUUCUCUCGAGAAAAAUAGCAAACGGUGGGUAAACAAAUUACUGUUGGGAAAUUGAUAGAACUUCGAAUAAUCAUGAUGAUAUCCAGGCAAUGCUCAUUACAUAGGCAUCACGUCCAAGAUUAGUAGACCGACUCCUGCCUGCAUCUACUACUAUUACUCCACACAUUGACCGCUAUCCAGCAUGCAUCUAGUGUAUUAAGUUCAUGGAGAAACGGAGUAAUGCAAUAAGAACGAUGACAUGAUGUAGACAAGAUCUAUCUAUGUAGAGAUAUACCUCGUCGUUUUAUCCUUAGUAGCAACGAUACAUACGUGUCGGUUCCCCUUCUGUCACUGGGAUCAAGCACCGUAAGAUCGAACCCACUACAAAGCACCUCUUCCCAUUGCAAGAUAAAUAGAUCAAGUUGGCCAAACAAAACCCAAAUAUCGGAGAAGAAAUACGAGGCUAUAAGCAAUCAUGCAUAUAAGAGAUCAAAAAAACUCAAAUAACUUUCAUGGAUAUAAAAGGAUAGAUCUGAUCAUAAACUCAAAGUUCAUCCGAUCCCAACAAACACACCGCAAAAGGAGUUACAUCAUAUGGAUCUCCAAGAGACCAUUGUAUUGAGAAUCAAACGAGAGAGAGGAAGCCAUCUAACUACUAACUACGGACCCAAAGGUCUACAAAGAACUACUCACGCAUCAUCGGAGAGGCACCAAUGGAAGUGGUGAACCCCUCCGUGAUGGUGUCUAGAUUGGAUCUGGUGGUUUUGGACUCUGCGGCGACUGGAAUUGAUUUUCGUCGACUCCCCUAGGGUUUCUGGAAUAUUGGGGUAUUUAUAGAGCAAAUAGGCGGUCCUGGGGGCACCCGAGGUGGGCACAACCCACUAGUGCGCGCCUGGGCCUCCAGGCGCGCCCUGGUGGGUUGUGCUCCCCUCGGAACACCCGCAGUCGCUGCCUUGGCCCAUUGGAAGUCUUCUGGUCCAUAAAAAAUCUCCGUAAAGUUUCGCUGCAUUUGGACUCCGUUUGAUAUUGAUUUUCUAUUAUGUAAAAACAUGCAAAAAACAGCAAUUGGCACUUGGCAUUAUGUCAAUAGGUUAAUACCAAAAAAUGAUAUAAAAUGACUAUAAAAUGAUUAUAAAAUAUUCAAGAUUGAUAAUAUAAUAGCACAGAACCAUAAAAAAUUAUAGAUACGUUGGAGACAUAUCAUAGGACACAGUCCCUUGCUUCGGCUUCGUCCUUUGCCAGUUGGUGCGCCUGGUAUGCUUGGUCUAUAUGGAUACCAAGGCGUUAUUCCUCAUGUGUAAAGAGGCUGCCGCAAUGAGUGAGCUUGCCAGCAUUUUGGCAUGCAGCCUAAAGCUGCAUGGCGAGUUGUGCGCCAUCUUUUUGUUGCAAAUGGCUAUUGGGGAACAGGAGACCAUCUGGUUGUCAUGCUCGCAUGCCAUUCAUAUUAUGUGAAUCGUGUCGUGGUUCUACCACGCAUCGAUGUGCCCAAGUAAUUGGCGUGAGAUGGUGGAUUACUUAAACUUUAUUAGAUCAGAGCAAGAUCCACAAGAUGAAUUUUUUAUAAUAAAUUCAUGUAACUUAAAAAUUGCUUGAUGCAUUUUUUAAGAAUAUUCAUGUAAUGGUAAAAUUGUUCAUCCAUUAAAAAUUCAUGUAAUUAAAAAUAUGUACUACACAUUUUUCAAGUAAUGGAAAAAAUGGUGGAUUCAUUUUUUAAAAUGAUACAGUUUUACAAAUUUUCCUAUACAAUAAAAUAAAGUGCUAAGAAUAGAUUAGUGUGAUUCUCAUGUAAUAAAAAUGAUAUUAGAUGAUUUUUUAUUUUUCAAUAUCUAAGUUAUUGUAAUAAAAAUGUCACUUACUUAUAAAUGUUUAUUACGUAUUCAAAAUGUUCAUGAAAUACUUAUAAAAAAGUUUAUGUACGGAAGAACAAAAGAGAAAACUGAUCAGAAAAAUGAAAAAGAUAAAAGCACAUAAACCUAAAAUAAAAUGGAAAGCAACAAAAAGACAUACAAAAAAGGCAGACAUCUGGCACAUGGGCUGGCCCAAAAUGAUGGGUUAUGCGUCAUUGCUUGACUAAAUGGUGUCUCUUCUAGAAACAAAUGACUAAACAGUGUCUCCACAAUCUAGAAACAAAUCACUAAACAGUGUCUCCUCGACGAGACAAAAGGGGACGACUUUCAAGAAAGGGGGUAGGGGGGAUAAACGGUGCACCUAGCGUGUAAUAGGAUUUCAGGAUGCUUAAUGCACAUUCAUCAAAAAGAAGAAAAAAAUGAUUGAACUAAUUAAGAUGAUAUGUUAGUAUUCGACUGCAACUUGGAUGGAACUAGUAUACAACCGCAGAUGACACACACACUGGUAAAUUAGCUAUUGAUAUGAUAUGUUCUCGUCAAAUACGAAAUUUUGAGAGAAAUAUUAGGUGUCCUGUUAUCAACAUUAUCAAAACAGAAAAUAAGCCUGUCAAUUGAUCAUAAUUUGAUACACCCAUCACUAUAUACAUGGAAUUUUUGGAUUCUGCCAUCUAUCAUUUCAACUUCAAAGUGUACUAUUUGGUGCAUACACAAUAUUUUUGGCCAGGGAGAGGUAUAUAAUUUUAUCCAAAGAGAAUGAGGAAUAAAAAAUCUCACAUAUGAGAAGCUCAUGAGCGUCUUCCUAUUUGCCCGGGCAAAAGCUACUUCAGAUGUCACGCAAAUGUGAGAGUAUUCUAGUAGGUGACUACUGAGACUGUCCUUGCUUACCGUCCACAAUGAGUUUUGAAAACUCGCCCAAGAAGCACCAUCCCUUUUGGGAACCAAGAAAAUACAAUAGUAAUAUACUGUAACUCAAGGGAAUGCGCUGAAUAACAUAAAUAAGAGUUUAGCAUUAAUUAUCAUUUUUUGAAUAAAUCCCCUUGAGAAGGUACAUUGUAAGUGGUCGGGUAAAGGCCAAGCACUGAAGGACAACAUUUGCGUAGCAACUGUAAAAAGAAAUAAAAUAAGAAGGCCGGGCAAAAACAACAACAUUGAACCACUAAAUUCAGAUUCAAUAAAUUCUUUACACCAUAAACCAAAGUGCCCUAAUAUGUUUAAUUUUCAAUAAGUUUUAGGCAUGAGUUUGAUUUGUGAAUCCACAGAACUGCCACAGGAGUAUUAUCUUGUUAAAGGAAACAAUUUUGAAAAUGACAGGUUUUAACAAUCUCAAAAUUAUAACCUAUAGGAUACACCUAACAAAAGCAAAACGAAUGUCCUGCAUAUUUACUUUCAACAUAGCUAUUAAAAAGUUUAAUUAAUUGCUUACCUGUUCCUAGGGUCAGAAACACCAAAAUGACGUAACUCCACCUUGUCAAAGUUAUAGAGCAUACAAAAGUGUCUUUACCACAUUUCGAUAACCAUUAGGUUCAACAUACAAAAGUGUAUGUUGGUGAUUAAAUGAGUCAUCAAGUUUUACUUACCGAAUCCGAUGGAUAAUGCAUCACAACUGUUCAAGCAGUUUCUUGUCUGAUCAGACUUUUUGUCCUUGCUAGAUUACAUCGCACCACAACUUGGAUCUCUAAUUUAACAAGAAUUAAGGAAGAUCAUUAGCCUUUGCAGAUCGGUCACGCGCUUAAAAAUGUUCGUGUAAUUAGAAAAUAUACAUGAAUUAAAAAUAUUCAAGUAGUAAAAUACGAUGGCCAACACUUUUGUAAUAAGUGUUUAAUCCAUUUAAAAACCUUAUAAUAAUAAUAAAAGUGUUCAUUACAUUUUUUCCAAAUGUUUAUGUAAUUUCGAAAAAAAUUCACUGAAAAUUUCAGGUAAAAAAAUGUUUGGCACAUAUUUUUAAAAAUCAUGUAAUUUUACAUCCUAUGAAAAAUUUAAGAGUUCAAGGAGGAUUAGAAGUGCAAGAAAAAGUAACUAAAAAUAGAGCAGCAAGUUAGGGAUAGAAAACGCUUACAUUCGAAGUUUAUUCUCUCCAUCGUAGUGCUUUAGGCAUGCCAAAUAUUUAUUACCUCAAUAUAUAUCUCCUUGGCUCAUGGGUGAAGAGAUAUAUGCAUGGAGAAGGCAAAAUUUGAGAUACUAUAAUUGAUGCACAAUAUCAUGCUUCAUCUCCAAACAUUUUACGUUGUGAUAUUGUAGGCACAUCAACCGUCAACGGGGUACUGUGAGGACAAAAAGUUGUGAAGUUUGCCUACAAAUGGUCCACUAGAGAUGGUUGUAAGUGUUGGAAAUAUGCCCUAGAGGCAAUAAUAAAAUGGUUAUUAUUAUAUUUCUUUGUUCAUGAUAAUUGUCUAUUGUUCAUGCUAUAAUUGUGUUAUCCGGAAAUCGUAAUACAUGUGUGAAUACAUAGACCACAACGCGUCCCUAGUGAGCCUCUAGUUGACUAGCUCGUUGAUCAAAAGAUAGUCAUGGUUUCCUGACUAUGGACAUUGGAUGUCAUUGAUAACGGGAUCACAUCAUUAGGAGAAUGAUGUGAUGGACAAGACCCAAUCCUAAGCAUAGCUCAAAGAUCGUGUAGUUCGUUUGCUAUAGCUUUUCCGAAUGUCAAGUAUCAUUUCCUUAGACCAUGAGGUUGUGCAACUCCCGGAUACCGUAGGAGUGCUUUGGGUGUGCCAAACGUCACAACGUAACUGGGUGACUAUAAAGGUACACUACAGGUAUCUACGAAAGUGUCUGUUGGGUUGGCACGAAUCGAGACUGGGAUUUGUCACACCGUAUGACGGAGAGGUAUCUCUGGGCCCACUCGGUAAUGCAUCAUCAUAAUGAGCUCAAUGUGAUCAAGUGGUUGAUCACGGGAUCAUGCAUUACGGUACGAGUAAAGUGACUUGCCGGUAACGAGAUUGAACAAGGUAUUGGGAUACCGACGAUCGAGUCUCGGGCAAGUAACGUACCAAUUGACAAAGGGAAUUGCAUACGGGAUUGAUCGAAUCCUCGACAUCAUGGUUCAUCCGAUGAGAUCAUCGAGGAGCAUGUGGGAGCCAACAUGGGUAUCCAGAUCCCACUGUUGGUUAUUGACCGAAGAGUCGUCUUGGUCAUGUCUGCGUGUCUCCCGAACCCGUAGGGUCUACACACUUAUGGUUCGGUGAUGCUAGGGUUGUUGAGAUAUUAGUAUACGGUAACCCGAAAGUUGUUAGGAGUCCCGGAUGAGAUCCCGGACGUCACGAGGAGUUCCGGAAUGGUCCGGAGGUGAGGAUUUAUAUAUAGGAAGUCAAGUUUCGGCCAUCGGGAAGGUUUUCGGGGUAAUCGGUAUUGUACCGGGACCACCGGAAGGGUCCCGGGGGUCCACCGGGUGGGGCCACCUAUCUCGGAGGGGCCCAUGGGCUGAAGUGGGAGGGGAACCAGCCCCAGAUGGGCUGGUGCGCCCCCCCAUGGGCCUCCCCUGCGCCUAGGGUUGGAAACCCUAGGGGUGGGGGCGCCCCACUUGGCUUGGGGGGCACUCCACCCCCUUGGCCGCCGUCCCCCUUGGAGAUGGCAUCUCCUAGGGCCCGCGCCCCCCUAGGGGUCCUAUAAAUAGUGGGGGGGAGGGAGGGUAGCCGCACCCUAACACCUGGCGCCUCCCUCUCCCUCCCGUGACACCUCUCCCUCUCCCUGAGCUUGGCGAAGCCCUGCCGAGAUCACCGUUGCUUCCACCUCCACGCCGUCGUGCUGCUGGAUCUUCAUCAACCUCUCCUUUCCCCUUGCUGGAUCAAGUUGGAGGAGACGUCUUCCCAACCAUACGUGUGUUGAACGCGGAGGUGCUGUCUGUUCGGGGCUAGGUCAUCGGUGAUUUGGAUCACGACAAGUACGACUCCAUCAACCCCGUUCUCUUGAACGCUUCCGCGCGUGAUCUACAAGGGUAUGUAGAUGCACUCCCCUCUCCCUCGUUGCUAGAUGACUCCAUAGAUUGAUCUUGGUGAUGCAUAGAAAAUUUUAAAAUUCUGCUACGUUCCCCAACAGUGGCAUCAUGAGCUAGGUCUAUGCGUAGUUUCUAUGCACGAGUAGAACACAAAGCAGUUGUGGGGGUGGAUGUUGUCAAUUUGCUUGCCGUUACUAGUCUUAUCUUGAUUCGGCGGCAUCGUGGGAUGAAGCGGCCCGGACCAACCUUACACGUACGCUUACGUGAGACCGGUUCCACCGAUUGACAUGCACUAGUUGCAUAAGGUGGCUGGCGGGUGUCUGUCUCUCCCACUUUAGUCGAAUCGGAUUCGAUGAAAAGGGUCCUUAUGAAGGGUAAAUAGAAAUUGGCAUAUCACGUUGUGGUUUUGGCGUAGGUAAGAAACGUUCUUGCUAGAAACCUAUAGCAUCCACGUAAAAACUUGCAACAACAAUUAGAGGACGUCUAACUUGUUUUUACAGCAUGUGCCGUGUGAUGUGAUAUGGCCAAAAGGAUGUGAUGAAUGAUAUAUGUGAUGUAUGAGAUUGAUCAUGUUCUUGUAAUAGGAGUCACGACUUGCAUGUCGAUGAGUAUGACAACUGGCAGGAGCCAUAGGAGUUGUCUUAAUUUAUUUAUGACCUGCGUGUCAACAUAAAUAUCAUGUAAUUACUUUACUUUAUUGCUAAAGCGUUAGCCAUAGUAGUAGAAGUAAUAGAUGAUGAGACAACUUCAAGAAGACACGGUGAUGGAGAUCAUGAUGAUGGAGAUCAUGGUGUCAUGUCGGUGACAACGAUGAUCAUGAAGCCCCGAAGAUGGAGAUCAAAAGGAGCAAAUGAUAUUGGCCAUAUCAUGUCACUAUUUGAUUGCAUGUGAUGUUUAUCAUGUUUUUCAUCUUAUUUGCUUAGAACGACGGUAGCUUAAAUAAGAUGAUCCCUCGUAAUAAUUUCAAGAAAGUGUUCUCCCUAACUGUGCACCGUUGCAAAGGUUCGUUGUUUCGAAGCACCACAUGAUGAUCGGGUGUGAUCAAGGUUGUCAGAAUCGCGAUUCUAUUAUACGAUUCUACGACUUUACGAUCCAAACAAACCCCUAUGAUUCUACGAUUUUAGUUCUUAGAAUCUACGACUUUACGAUCCUGGUAGUGAAGAUUCUACGAUUUGCGAUCCUACCAUCAAAGCUCCGAUCCGAUUCAAAAUCGCGAUUCUGACAACCUUGGGUGUGAUAGAUUCUAACGUUCGAAUACAACGGGUGUAAGCCAGAUUUACACACGCAAUACACUUAGGUUGACUUGACGAGCCUAGCAUGUACAGACAUGGCCUCGAAACACGGAAGACCGAAAGGUCGAGCAUGAGUCGUAUAGAAGAUACGAUCAACAUGAAGAUGUUCACCGAUGUUGACUAGUCCGUCUCACGUGAUGAUCGAACACGGCCUAGUUGACUCGAAUCAUGUUUCACUUAGAUGACUAGAGGGAUGUCUAUCUGAGUGGGAGUUCAUUGAAUAAUUUGAUUAGAUGAACUUAAUUAUCAUGAACUUAGUCUAAAAUCUUUACACCAUGUCUUGUAGAUCAAAUGGCCCACGCUAAUGUUGCCCUCAACUUCAACGCGUUCCUAGAGAAAACCAAGCUGAAAGAUGAUGGCAGCAACUAUACGGACUGGGUCCGGAACCUGAGGAUCAUCCUCAUAGCUGCCAAGAAAGAUUAUGUCCUAGAAGCACCGCUAGGUGACGCACCCAUCCCAUAGAACCAAGACAUUAUGAACGCUUGGCAGUCACAUGCUAAUGAUUACUUCCUCAUUCAGUGCGGCAUGCUUUACAGCUUAGAACCGGGGCUCCAAAAGCGUUUUGAGAGACAUGGAGCAUAUGAGAUGUUCGAAGAGCUGAAAAUGGUUUUCUAAGCUCAUGCCCGAGUCGAGAGAUAUGAAGUCUCCAACAAGUACUUCAGUUGUAAGAUGGAGGAAAACAGUUCUGUCAGUGAGCACAUACUCAAAAUGUUUGGGUUGCAUAACCGCUUGACUCAGCUAGGAGGUAAUCUCCCGGAUGACGCGGUCAUUGGCAGAAUCCUUCAGUCGCUUCCACCGAGCUACAAGAGCUUUGUGAUGAACUUCAAUAUGCAGGGGAUGGAAAAGACCAUUCCUAAGGUAUAUUCAAUGCUGAAAUCAGUGGAGGUGGAAAUCAAAAAGGAACAUCAAGUGUUGAUGGUGAAUAAAACCACUAAGUUCAAGAAAGGCAAGGGUAGAAAGAACUUCAAGAAGGACGGCAAGGGAGUUGCCGCGCCCGGUAAGCAAGCUAUCGGGAAGAAGCCAAAGAAUGGACCCAAGCCCGAGACUGAGUAUUUUUAUUGCAAGGGAAGUGGUCACUGGAAGCGGAACUGCCCGAAAUACUUAGCAGACAAGAAGGCCGGCAACACUAAAGGUAUAUGUGAUAUACAUGUAAUUGAUGUGUACCUUACCAGUACUCGUAGUAGCUCCUGGGUAUUUGAUACCGGUGCGGUUGCUCAGAUUUGUAACUCAAAGCAGGAGCUGCGGAAUAAGCGGAGACUGGCGAAGGACAAGGUGACGAUGCGCGUCGGGAAUGGUUCCAAGGUCGAUGUGAUCGCCGUCGGCACGCUGCCUCUACAUUUACCUACGGGAUUAGUUUUAAACCUCAAUAAUUGUUAUUUAGUGCCAGCUUUGAGCAUGAACAUUAUAUCAGGAUCUUGUUUAAUUCGAGAUGGCUACUCAUUUAAAUCCGAGAAUAAUGGUUGUUCUAUUUAUAUGAAAGAUAUGUUUUAUGGUCAUGCUCCGCUGGUGAAUGGUUUAUUCUUAAUGAAUCUCAAGCGUAAUGUGACACAUAUUCAUAGUGUGAAUACCAAAAGAUGUAAGGUUGAUAAUGAUAGUCCCACAUACUUGUGGCACUGCCGCCUUGGUCACAUAGGUGUCAAAUGCAUGAAGAAGCUCCAUGCCGAUGGACUUUUGGAGUCUCUUGAUUACGAAUCAUUUGACACGUGCGAACCAUGCCUCAUGGGUAAAAUGACCAAGACUCCAUUCUCAGGAACAAUGGAGCGAGCAACCAACUUAUUGGAAAUCAUACAUACUGAUGUGUGCGGUCCAAUGAGCGUUGAGGCUCGCGGUGGCUAUCGCUAUGUUCUCACCCUCACUGAUGACUUGAGUAGAUAUGGGUAUGUCUACUUAAUGAAACACAAAUCUGAGACCUUUGAAAAGUUCAAGGAAUUUCAGAGUGAGGUUGAAAAUCAACGUGACAGAAAAAUCAAGUUCUUACGAUCAGAUCGUCGGGGAGAAUACUUGAGUCACGAAUUUGGCACACACUUAAGGAAAUGUGGAAUAGUUUCACAACUCACGCCGCCUGGAACACCUCAGCGUAAUGGUGUGUCCGAACAUCGUAAUCGCACUCUAUUGAAUAUGGUGCGAUCUAUGAUGUCUCUUACCGAUUUACCGCUGUCAUUUUGGGGCUAUGCUCUAGAGACUGCCGCAUUCACUUUAAAUAGGGCUCCGUCGAAAUUCGUUGAGACGACACCGUAUGAAUUAUGGUUUGGGAAGAAACCUAAGCUGUCGUUUCUAAAAGUUUGGGGAUGCGAUGCUUAUGUCAAGAAACUUCAACCUGAAAAGUUCGAACCCAAAUCGGAAAAAUGUGUCUUCAUAGGAUACCCUAAAGAAACCAUUGGGUAUACCUUCUACCUCAGAUCCAAAGGCAAGCUCUUUGUUGCCGAGAAUGGAUCCUUUCUAGAGAAAGAGUUUCUCUCGAAAGAAAUAAGUGGGAGGAAAGUAGAACUCGAUGAAGUAUUACCUCUUGAACCGGUAAGUGGCGCAGCUCAAGAAAAUGUUCCUGAGGUGCCUCCACCGACUAGAGAGGAAGUUAAUGAUGAUGAUCAUGAAACUUCAGAUCAAGUUGCUACUGAACUUCGUAGGUCCACGAGGACACAUUCCGCACCAGAGUGGUACGGCAACCCUGUCCUAGAAAUCAUGUUGUUAGACAACGGUGAACCUUCGAACUAUGAGGAAGCGAUGGCGGGCCCAGAUUCCGACAAAUGGCUGGAAGCCAUGAAAUCUGAGAUAGGAUCCAUGUAUGAAAACGAAGUAUGGACUUUGACUGACUUUCCCGAUGAUCGGCGAGCCAUAGAAAAUAAAUGGAUCUUUAAGAAGAAGACAGAUGCGGAUGGUAAUGUAACCAUCUAUAAAGCUCGGCUUGUCGCUAAGGGUUAUCGACAAGUUCAAGGGGUUGACUACGACGAGACUUUCUCACCCGUAGCGAAGCUGAAGUCCGUCCGAAUCAUGUUAGCAAUUGCCGCAUUCUAUGAUUAUGAGAUAUGGCAAAUGGAUGUCAAAACGGCAUUCCUUAAUGGUUUCCUUAAGGAAGAAUUGUAUAUGAUACAGCCGGAAGGUUUUGUCGAUCCUAAGAAUGCUGACAAGGUGUGCAAGCUCCAACGCUCGAUCUAUGGGCUGGUGCAAGCAUCUCGGAGUUGGAACAUUCGUUUUGAUGAGAUGAUCAAAGCGUUUGGGUUUACGCAGACUUAUGGAGAAGCCUGCAUUUACAAGAAAGGGAGUGGGAGCUCCGUAGCAUUUCUCAUAUUGUAUGUCGAUGACAUACUGUUGAUGGAAAUGAUAUAGAAUUCUUGGAAAGCAUAAAGGCCUACUUGAACAAGUGUUUUUCAAUGAAGGAUCUUGGAGAAGCUGCUUACAUAUUAGGCAUCAAGAUCUAUAGAGAUAGAUCGAGACGCCUCAUUGGUCUUCCACAGAGUAUGUACCUUGACAAGAUAUUGAAGAAGUUCAAAAUGGAUCAGUCAAAGAAGGGGUUCUUGCCUGUAUUGCAAGGUACGAGAUUGAGCAUGGCUCAAUGCCCGACCACGGCAGAAGAUAGAGAAAAGAUGAGUGUCGUCCCCUAUGCCUCGGCCAUAGGGUCUAUCAUGUAUGCUAUGCUGUGUACUAGACCUGAUGUAAACCUUGCCGUAAGUUUGGUAGGAAGGUACCAAAGUAAUCCCGGCAUGGAACACUGGACAGCGGUCAAGAAUAUCCUGAAGUACCUCAAGAGGACUAAGGAUAUGUUUCUUGUUUAUGGAGGUGACUAAGAGCUCGUCAUAAAGGGUUACGUCGAUGCUAGCUUCGACACAGAUCUGGAUGACUCUAAGUCACAAAUCGGAUACGUGUAUAUUUUGAAUGGUGGGGCAGUAAGCUGGUGCAGUUGCAAGCAAAGCGUUGUGGCGGGAUCUACAUGUGAAGCGGAGUACAUGGCAGCCUCGGAGGCAGCACAAGAGGCAAUCUGGGUGAAGGAGUUCAUUACCGACCUAGGAGUCAUACCCAAUGCGUCGGGCCCGAUGACUCUCUUCUGUGACAACACUGGAGAUAUUGCCCUUGCCAAGGAGCCCAGGUUUCACAGGAAGACCACGCAUAUCAAGCGUCGCUUCAACUCCAUUCAUGAAAGUGUUCAAAAUGGAGACAUAGAUAUUUGUAAAGUACAUACGGACCUGAAUGUGGCAGAUCCGUUGACUAAACCUCUGCCUAGAGCAAAACAUGAUCAACACCAGAACUGCAUGGGUGUUCGAUUCAUCACAAUGUAACUAGACUAUUGACUCUAGUGCAAGUGGGAGACUGUUGAAAAUAUGCCCUAGAGGCAAUAAUAAAAUGGUUAUUAUUAUAUUUCUUUGUUCAUGAUAAUUGUCUAUUGUUCAUGCUAUAAUUGUGUUAUCCGGAAAUCGUAAUACAUGUGUGAAUACAUAGACCACAACACGUCCCUAGUGAGCCUCUAGUUGACUAGAUCGUUGAUCAAAAGAUAGUCAUGGUUUCUUGACUAUGGACAUUGGAUGUCAUUGAUAACGGGAUCACAUCAUUAGGAGAAAGAUGUGAUGGACAAGACCCAAUCCUAAGCAUAGCUCAAAGAUCGUGUAGUUCGUUUGCUAUAGCUUUUCCGAAUGUCAAGUAUCAUUUCCUUAGACCAUGAGAUUGUGCGACUCCCGGAUACCGUAGGAGUGCUUUGGGUGUGCCAAACGUCACAAUGUAACUGGGUGACUAUAAAGGUACACUACAGGUAUCUCCGAAAGUGUCUGUUGGGUUGGCACGAAUCGAGACUGGGAUUUGUCACACCGUAUGACGGAGAGGUAUCUCUGGGCCCACUCGGUAAUGCAUCAUCAUAAUGAGCUCAAUGUGAUCAAGUGGUUGAUCACGGGAUCGUGCAUUACGGUACGAGUAAAGUGACUUGCCGGUAACGAGAUUGAACAAGGUAUUGGGAUACCGACGAUCGAGUCUCGGGCAAGUAACGUACCGAUUGACAAAGGGAAUUGCAUACGGGAUUGAUCGAAUCCUCGACAUCGUGGUUCAUCCGAUGAGAUCAUCGAGGAGCAUGUGGGAGCCAACAUGGGUAUCCAGAUCCCGCUGUUGGUUAUUGACCAGAGAGUCGUCUUGGUCAUGUCUGCGUGUCUCCCGAACCCGUAGGGUCUACACACUUAAGGUUCGGUGACGCUAGGUUGUUGAGAUAUUAGUAUACGGUAACCCGAAAGUUGUUCGGAGUCCUGGAUGAGAUCCCGGACGUCACGAGGAGUUCCGAAAUGGUCCAGAGGUGAAGGUUUAUAUAUAGGAAGUCAUGUUUAGGCCAUCGAGAAGGUUUUCGGGGUAAUCGGUAUUGUACCGGGACCACCGGAAGGGUCCCGGGGGUCCACCGGGUCGGGCCACCUAUCCCGGAGGGCCCCAUGGGCUGAAGUGGGAGGGGAACCAGCCCCAGAUGGGCUGGUGCACCCCCCCAUGGGCCUCCCCUGCGCCAAGGGUUGGAAACCCUAGGUGUGGGGGCGCCCCACUUGGCUUGGGGGGCACUCCACCCCCUUGGCCGCCCCCCCCCCUUGGAGAUGGCAUCUCCUAGGGCCGGCGCCCCCCUAGGGGUCCUAUAAAUAGUGGGGGGAGGGAGGGCAGCCGCACCCUAACCCCUGGCGCCUCCCUCUCCCUCCCGUGACACCUCUCCCUCUCCAUGAGCUUGGCGAAGCCCUGCCGAGAUCACCGUUGCUUCCACCACCACGCCGUCGUGCUGCUGGAUCUUCAUCAACCUAUCCUUUCCCCUUGCUGGAUCAAGUUGGAGAAGACAUCUUCCCAACCGUACGUGUGUUGAACGCGGAGGUGCCGUCGUUCGGCGCUUGGUCAUCGGUGAUUUGGAUCACGAUGAGUACGACUCCAUCAACCCCGUUCUCUUGAACGCUUCCACGCGCGAUCUACAAGGGUAUGUAGGUGCACUCCCCUCUCCCUCGUUGCUAGAUGACUCCAUAGAUUGAUCUUGGUGAUGCGUAGAAAAUUUUAAAAUUCUGCUACAUUCCCCAACAGUAAUGUCAGGAUUUGAGAAGACGCCUAGUAUGGAUCUUUUCCUUCAUUUGUACAAUACUAGACAUAUAUCACAUCGACGGGAAGGUUUGGCACCUCAAUGUCGGCUCUUCGCCACCAGGAGCUGUAGGUGGUUCCAAGGGUUGGGCUGUUCGCCCAUUAAUGCGGUACGUGAGCUGGGUUCAGAACGUCGUGAGAUAGUUCGGUCCAUAUCCGGUGUGGGCGUUAGAGCAUUGAGAGGACCUUUCCCUAGUACGAGAGGACCGGGAAGGACGCACCUCUGGUGUACCAGUUAUCGUGCCUACGGUAAACGCUGGGUAGCCAAGUGCGGAGAGGAUAACUGUUGAAAGCAUAUAAGUAGUAAGCCCACCCCAAGAUGAGUGCUCUCUCCUCCGACUUCCCUAGAGCCUCCGGUAUCACAGCCGAGACAGCGACGGGUUCUCCACCCAUACGGGGAUGGAGCGACAGAAGUAUGGAAAUAGGAUAAGGUAGCGGCGAGACGAGCCGUUUAAAUAGGUGUCAAGUGGAAGUGCAGUGAUGUAUGCAGCUGAGGCGUCCUAACGAACGAACGAUUUGAACCUUGUUCCUACACGGCCUGAUCAAAUCGACCAGGCACUUGCCAUCUAUCUUCAUUGUUCAACUCUUUGAUGAAAAGAUGAAAAAACCAAAAAAAGCUCUGCCCUUCCAUCUCUUGGAUAGAUAGAGAGGGAGGGCAUAGGCCUUUGGUGUCCCUUUCAGUCAAGAAUUGGGGCUUCACAAUUACUAGCCAAUAUUUAUCUCAUGCCUUUCCUCGUUCAUGGUUCGAUAUUCUGGUGUCCUAGGCGUAGAGGAACCACACCAAUCCAUCCGAAUUUGGUGGUUAAACUCUACUGCGGUGAUGAUACUGUAGGGGAGGUCCUGCUGCAAAAUAGCUCGAUGCCAAAAUGAUAAAAAGCUUAACACCUCUUAUUUGACUUUUUCACUAUUUUGAAAUAAGAAAAAGAUCCAAAUCUAAAAUUCAAAGGUCGUCUUAUUCAAAACCUCAAUCAUCACAUCCCCUCUCUCCCACUUCACACCUCGGAACGCACUGUUCUUAUAGAGAGAAAGGCGCUUUCCCAUCUUCUUAACCUGAAAUGAAGGGGUACCCCCGGGAAGAGAUCCAGUGGAGAUAGCUGGGCCUGUAGCUCAGAGGAUUAGAGCACGUGGCUACGAACCACGGUGUCGGGGGUUCGAAUCCCUCCUCGCCCACAGCCUUCCAAAGGGGGAAGGGCCUUUACUUUCCCCCUGAGGGUAGGAAAAUCAUGAUCGGGAUAGCGGACGUAAAGUUAUUGAACUUAGGUAUGCUCUUUCCUUUUGUCGAAGUGGAAUCGUAGAACAGAAUGUGAUACGAUGAGAUAGAAUGCAAUAGAAAUAGAAACAAGGAUAGCGAACGGGUUACCUACUCCUAAGGGUCAAAGCAAGCCCUUUAAUUCAAUUCUUUAUUCUUACAUUAAAAUUCUUACAUUAAAGAAUGAAUAAAAUCUCCCCAAGUAGGAUUCGAACCUAUGACCAGUCAGUUAACAGCCGACCGCUCUACCACUGAGCUACUGAGGAACAAGGCGGGAUUCGACCUCCUAGAGUUCAACUCCCGCUCUCAACCCAUGAACAAUA